rnacentral:lncRNA from 1 species
UUUUUUUUUUUUUUUUUUUGUUUAAAAUAUGUGCCCAGCAAGAUCGCAUCGCAGAGGCAAGUUUCGAGUUUCGUUGGUGACAAUCAAAUAUAAAUUAUUACUAUGCCAUUUGGGUCGUUUGAGAGAUUUGUGGAGUUCUUAAUGACAAAUCCAAGAUUCGAAUUAUCAGUUAUUUGGUGGCAGUUUGUAGUUUGUCACCAUCAUCAUUGGAGAAACUAAAAAACAUUUAUACUUCUUUGUUCGUUUGUUCUACAAUUGUUUGUGGGAUAAGAGGGCUGGGACACACAAAUGGGAUGAGCUCCUGAGGCCCUUUUUUUUUUUUUUUUCUUCUUUUUUAAGUAUAAGUGAGAAAUAACGAAUUAAGAGGGUUAAAAUCUCUCUCUCUCUGACAUUUCUUCUCUCUGUACAAUCCAACCCAUCUCCCACGAGCUUGUAGUUAGAGUCUAGAAGCUCAAAGUUUUAGAAGUGAUAGAUUAAAUUAAUCUAGCUCCUUUUUUUUUUGGAAAAAUAGCGGAUUCUUUUAUUCUUUGAGCACAAAAUAAGAAUUGGGUCUGAUUUAUUUUUGUAUGCAGAAGUUUAAAUUUUGUGGAUAAUAAGUUUGGACCGCGAUUAUUUAGCAAAUUUUAUUUACUUGUAUUAUCGAUACAUUUUUUAAUUUUUUUAUUUUACACACAUCACGUAAAAAAGUACUACUCCCUCCGUCCCGUUUUGUUAGUCUUGGUUUUUUUUUUUCACACAGAUUAAGAAAGUGUAAUUAAUUUGGUUGGAAACAUAAAUUUAGAUUAAUAAUUUCCUAAAAUACCCUUAUGCUAAUCACGAAGAGUGCCAAUUAAUAUCAGCUACACCUAAUGGAUUGGUAUUGGAAAAGCUCAAUGUAUUCAAUGUAGUGGGUUAGUAUUUAAUAACAAUGUAUUAAUAACAAGAUAUUUAAUAAGGGUAUUUUAGACAAUUUGAAAGAUUACUACAUUUCUUAAUGGGAAAGUGAACUACAAUUUGGGACAGAUGAAAAAGGAAAACAAGACUAUCAAAGUGGGACGGAGGGAGUAUUAUAUUUUUUUUAAAAAAAAAAAAUUAAUCUUCUGUCCGAACACACUUUGAUGCUAGAAUUGGUUUCUUUACCUACCAGCCUAUUUCAUUUCUAUUGGAGUACUCAUCCUGUGCCUAUCAGUUAAACCAACCAUUGAUCAAGUCAACCCUUAUUUUUUUAACCCUUUUUGGGAACGAGCCAAUGUCCUCAAGUCAACCCUUGUUUUUUAACCAAGUUGUGUUUGGUUUCUUGAGAGAGCUUCGGGCAUAAAAACAAGGAUUAGUACUGGAGAGUACACGGCCAUUUGGAAUAGAAAGGAACCAAAUUUGGACGGUGUAUUAUUUUGCCGAAAUUUAGUUAUUUGCAUCGUCAACACAUUUUUCAAUCACUUUUUAUUAUCUCACAUACAGCGUAUGAAAAAAGUGCCACAAUAUCUUGUUUCAAAAAAUUAUCCCUAAUAAUCUGUUAUCCAAACACACUUAGUUAACUGGAAUUUCAUCGAAUGCGGUUACAAAUAAUGCAUCUAACCUUUUUUUUUUGUUGGUCAAUUGUCAUCAUAUUUAAUUAUCUUCAAUUAACACCAAACUUGGAUAAAAGAAUAAGGUAUACUAUUAAUCUUAAUUAUGCAAAAGCUAGUUAUGUUGGAUUCACAAUCGCACGAAGUAAUUUGGAGUCACAUACAUGCAAAUAAGUUUUAGGUUAACACGAGAAUGAUAUUAAUGAGUGUGUUUGGAUUGUAAGUUAUUUGAAAUAUUUUUACUGUAGCACUUUUUGUGAUGUGAUGUAUGUGAGAUAAAAAGGUAAUUGGGAAGAUAAAAAGGUGUAUUGGAAAUUGUAACGGUGAUGUCAGCAAAUAUAUUUGGCCAAAUAAUUGGCCGUCCAAACACACUCAUUCUUUAACCAAAGCUGUGCCUUGGUUGACAAUUACAAGAGGCAUGAAUGCAUGAUUUUGUAGUAGCUGCUUUAGUCAUUUGCUAAUACUAGUGUGGCAUUGACUUGAGGAAAAAGGAAAGUGGGAAAUACCAUGGAAACUCCAGUCCAGUAUUUGGGGGAUUUUCUUGGACGGUGUUUACUAGGAAAAAUCUGUCCCUAACUAGCACAUGGUAGUAAAUUCGAGGAAGCUCUCUUCUUGAAGCCUAUAGUCAGAAUGUUUGUCUACCUAUGGUUUGGUAGGUUUGUUUUGAACUUUGAGCUUCAUUUAUUUGGUGGUGAUUUUCCGUAAAAAAAAAAAAAUUUAGAUUUUGGAUGAAUAUUAUUUUUAAUUAUUUUUUUAUAUACAUUAAAUCAUUAUAUAUAUAUAUAUAUAUAUAUAUAUAUAUAUAUUUUAUAAAAACUCUUAAAAAUACUCCCUCCGUCCCACUUUGAUAGUCCUAGUUCUUUUUUCACACAGUUUAAGAAAAAGUAAUUAACUUUGUUGGAACAAUCAAUUUAGGUAGCUAUUUUCCUAAAAUACCAUCACAUUAAUUAGAGGACAACUUUAUGGGAACUUGAAUCGAUGGUAAAAAAAGAAUCAACUCUCAUUAAAUGGGGUAGAUUUAUAGUAAUAACAACUUACAUUGAAUAAGGGUAUUUUAGAAAAAUUAAAAUACAACUACAUUAUUCAAUUGAAAAGUAGACUAUAAUUUGGGACAGACGAAAAAAGGAAAAUAGAACUAUUAAAGUGGGACGGAGGAGUAGCAAUCUUAACUACCCUGUUUUGGUAAGAAAUACAAAAUUUUUUUUGAAUCAUUGGAAAACUAUUCUCAUCAUCCACGGAGCAUAACAGUAGUGUCACUAAAUGGUCUAUAGUCUAUACAUACUUUUAACUAAUUUCCUCGGUUCCACCUAUAAAGCCUUCCCUAUGAUUGGCUGAGGAAACAUAUAGAGAAUAAAUAUACAUUGAGAAAUUUAAGUCUGUUUGGAUUGUAAAAUUUUUUCAAAAUUUUUUUUUGGUUUAUAUUUUGUCAACAUGUUUUCUCAAUUAUUAAGUCUGUCCUUAUUUCUAACUAUCUGUUUUAUUUCACAUGAAUCACAUCAAAAGAAAUAUUGCAAUUGGAAGGUGCAGUUAACAAUUUUUCUUUUGAUGUGAUUCAUGUGAGAGUCAGCUCAGUUUUUUGUUUUUUUUUACGUUGAAAUGUUAAGGACUACUUUGAUGGUGUGAUUGAAAUAUAAGGACCAAAACUACAAUUUUCCUCUAAUUUUUUAAAGUCAUCAACUGCAUGAGUUGACUUGUGAGACGACUUUGCCUUUGCACUUAAUUAGUAAAAGUCUUGGGCUAACUAUUUUUUGUUUUUGGAAGAAUAAGAAAAAAAAAAAAAAAGAAUCUCCCCCCGGCCACCGGAGCAAAUGUCGACCGGUCUAACACUGUCAGAAUCAUCAUCCUCUGCCGCCGCCGCCGCCUUCACCAACAAAGACAAUGCCGAUGACCUCUACGCCGCCGUGGACAUGGGCACGAACUCCUUCAAGCUCCUAAUUGUUCGAGCUGACCCUUCCACUGGCCGCUUUCUCCCAAUCGACCGCCACAAGGAGCCCGUCCUCUUAGGCCUCGAUGCCACUACAACCGCCGCCACGGUCAUUUCUCCUUCCUCCGUGGACCGCGCCAUCGCCGCCCUCAGCAAAUUCCAGCAAAUCAUGCACUGUCUCCACAUUCCCUCCUCCCAUUCCCGCUUCGUCGCCACCUCCGCCGUGCGUGAAGCCUCCAACCAGUCCGAGUUUCUCUUCAAGCUCCAUCAAAACCUUAACCUCCACGUGGACGUCCUCUCCGGUCAAGAAGAGGCCGGCCUCAUUUACUUCGGCGUCCUCCAGUUCAUUCCGGUCGUUAACGAUACAGUUCUCACUAUCGACAUCGGCGGCGGGUCGACUGAAAUUAUCAUAGGUAAAAAUGGGAAAACUUUGCAUGCAAUUUCGUUGAAAUUAGGGCAUGUUACUUUAACACAGCAGUUCAUAGAAAUUACGAAAAUGCGGGAGCAUAUUAGAAGUGUGAUAGAUCAUUCAGGCCUAGUUGAUAAAGUUAAGGAGUAUAAGAUUGAUAAAGUGUUAGGUUCAUCAGGAACAAUCAAGGCAAUUGAGGAGGCAGUAUACAAAGGAUAUGCUAAGAAAAAUGCAGGAGAAAUUAAAGAAAUUGAUAAAAGGGAUUGGAGAUUUAACAAGGAGGAGUUGAUUGAGCUGGUGGAGGGUUUGGGAGUAAAAGGGAAGAAAAGAAGGGAGGGAUUUUUCAACAAGAGGGCUGAGUUUAUAUUAGCAGGGGCGGUUUUAUUGGAGGAAAUAUUUGAGGGGCUUGGCAUUGAGGAAAUGGAGGUAUCCGAGUUUGCAUUGGGUGAGGGUGUUGUUGCAGAAAUGUUGAGGAAGGUUUGUAAAAGAUCUAGUGAUUGGGAGGUAGAUGUGCGGUGGGGAUCUGUGGUGAGGCUGGUGACAAGGCUCAAUACUAAGAAGAGGAUGAAGGCUUCUGUAAUGUGUGCUGCGAUAACAAAGGUACAAAGAAAAUGCAGUAGUUGUUUCUGGAUCCUAUUCAUCAUUUGUUACACAGAAAAAAUUGGUAUGUUGUGGUGUGCUUGCUGAUCAUGGUCACAGGACAUAUUUGAAGGGAUAAAGAAGUGGAAUGAGGUUGAUAAUCAGCUAGUGGUAUGCUUUGAGGACAAGGACCUUGAAUAUCUUGAAGCUGCUUGUUUGCUUCACAAUAUUGGUCUGUAUGCUGGCAAGAAAGGGUAUCACAAGCAAUCUUAUCAAGUCAUAAUUGUGAGUAAUCCUUCUAGAAGUUCUAUUUUGAACUUUUCAUUUGCUAGCGUCUUGGCAGUUUUAGAUUGCUAUAGAACAGUAACUCGAUAGUUAAGAAUUAGAUGCAUAAAACUAUCAAAUAUGAUGGUAAAAUUUACACCAAAUUAGUCUGUUGUAUUAUGAAGAGCUUUAUGAUGUUCAAUAUUCAUGGUGGAGGCAUGUAGAUGUAGUCAUGAUUAACGGAAAUAGAAUUGAAUUGUCAUGGCCGCUGCUACCAUAUAAAAGAUAUAAGAGGAAGAAUGUCUCUGGCUAAGUUCAUUUUGAAACCUUCAGCUUUCCUUCUUCUAUCAAGCGUUGAGUAUCCUGACAAUGCUUUGGAAUAUGCUUGUAGCUGUUGAAAUCUCAAGCUUUUGGGUGGAGUCAUUUUUUAUUUAAUUAUUCUUAACUGUGUUAAGUCCUAUUCUGAGAAGCUUGAACUUACAUACAGAAUGGUAAUCAUCUUCAGGGGUACAGUGACAAAGAGGUUAAGGUUAGUUUUCUUUGCUUUAAUGAAACUCUACUGUGACCUUUCUUUAAAUUUGGCAUGCUCAUGGCACUUUUAUCUGCUUUCAGUUAAUAGGACUACUUGUGAAGCAUCACCGAAAGAAAAUUCCCAAGUCUGAUGUUGAUUUGCUGGAGGGGUUUGAAGAAGAGGUAUCUGAGGAAAAUUAAUCCCAAUUCCUGUCAUGAUGAUGUUAUUGUGUCUAUUUAAUACUUAUAGCCUCUAACUUUAAAUCUUAGGUGAAGCUUAAGUUCAGAAUGCUUUGUGCUAUACUACGGCUAUCUGCCAUUGUACUGCAAUUUCAGUCUGUAGGCAUUCAAACAUUCAAAUUUUCAUGUUCUGAUGAAGGUUUUAGGCUGGUAAGAUCUGCUCGCUACUUUGUUAUUUCUUUUGUUUGAAUUGUUGUACAGGUAUAGCUUUACAUGUUUUGGAACUGUGCUAUCCAAAUCUACCAGCUAUAGAAGUAUCAAUUGAUUCUCAUCUUUUGUUCAUCACUGAUUGUGCUUAUGACAAAUGCAUAGUAUCUAUUUGCUAUGUUGUGUCAUGAGGAGAGUGUUCAGAACAAAUGUGAUCAACCCAGGUUUCAGACAGUUAUGCAUCCAAGGGCUAAAAAUAAAAACCGUAAGACUUCAGAUGAAACUGCUGUAAUUUUCUUCUCCAGUAAUAGAUGAGCUGGGUACUGCUAAUGGUGUCCGUUCUACAUUUCAACAAAUUGUGCUGGAAACUUUUUCCUUCUAACAGAAAUAUACAGUGCAAGUAUGCCAAAAACUCCUCAGAAACAGCUUCAAGAAUAAUACCCUAGCUCUGAUUGUUUUAUGCUGGUUCUUUGUCAUAAAUUCCCCCAGCAUGCUAAUGAUUUUUAUAUUUCCAUGCAAUAAGGCUUCUUUGGUAGAAAUUUUGAGCUGCAAACUGAUUACUCUAAAUGCAAGCAAAAGUCAUUUCACAGACUGUGAAGCUCCUUUGAAGGAAUUAGUACAAUAGUGGUGAUCAGCUAAUUGAUGAUUAAAAUUCGAGCAUUCUUGGGUGAACGAUAAAAACUGCAGGAUGUGAUGACUGGCGCCCUUUUUUAUUGCAUAGUAUUCUGCUUAGAUUUUUUAUUCUUUUUCCAUGGAGAGGAGAACUAGCUCAUUCAUACUUCUAUGGCUUCUCGAAGAGCCCUGGCUGCACGUAUUUUGUCUUUUGAUGAUCAGUUGUUUGUCUUGUCAUGAUUUUGUUUAGUGGAGUUGAUUACAUCCAUUCUUUCCAACUUGUGCUGUCUCAAGCAUUUAUUCUCUCAAAAGACAUGAUGAUAGAGAAUUUUGAUGAUUGAUUUAUACCGAAGAGAUAAAUUGGUGUUUCUUUUUGUUUUUUUACCUUAAUAUUAUAUAUGUAUAUCAAUUCACCAGAAGAAGAAAAUAGAAAACCUAGGUCUUUAAUCAUGGUCAUGAAAGUAAACAAAUUGAGGAAAGGGCCAGAGAAAGGUGAACUACAUAAACACAGUUUAUGUUGAAAUUGUUGUCUUGAGCUAUGGAGCUCUCUUGAUCUUUCUGCCUGGUUUAAGAUUUACAGUGUUAAGGCUUCUAAAUGUUCUAGUUGAUGGUUCUUAAUGGGCAGGAUUUGUUGAUCAACUUUUUCUUUCACGCAGCAGCAAGUGAGAAAAGGGGGUACUUUGGAGCCAUAAACGGGCUCUAUAUCAUUGAUUGAACAAACUACUUGUAAAUUUGGUCUCUCUUUGAGUUGUUUGCUUCACCUUGUUAUGCUACCUAUAAUAACUUGACACAAUGAUGCUCCAAUGUUGACUAUGUGCGCCUUAAUGUAAUCUUUUACACACUUAAGAGGAAAGCUAACUCGUUGACAUGGGUACUAAUAGCAAGGACCCAUGUCAUUGCUCUAAGGGGCCUUGCCAUUUCUUCACGAGUGAUGGAGGGGUAUGCAUUUAAUUCUAUUUGUGUUAAUUUUCUGUGUAGACUUCUAUGCCAGGGCAGUUUAGGAGAAAUGUAACUAGAAAUGGCAAUACUUUUGAUGUUUUCUUGACAUUCUGGAAUUGCAGGUUCUUGGUGAGGCAAGAAACCAACCUCAAUCAUCUUGUACUCUACAUCCAUUAGCAGGGGACCUCAAGGAAGAGAUAGACAAAGAGGUGGAGAACUUCAGAAUGGUAAUCCAAAUAGUCUCUUGAUUGUGCAAGUUCGCUGUCUUUGUCUUAUAUUCUUUUCAUAAAAUCUUGCUUUGUCCUUAAAGGUUUUUGCAAAGCAAUUGUCAGUCAUGAUUCCUUGCAGCACUUGAUUGUGGUCAGAAGAUGAAGAUACUUGCAAAACAAGGGAUACAUCACACUGGUAAUUUGUAGGUCAUCUGUUGUAAUGAUUACAUAGAUCCCGUUAGCAUCUUUGUCUUGUAACCAGAAACUUAAAUUUGGCUAGAAAACAGAUUCUCUUAUUCUCUUUAAAUAUGUAAAUGCUGGCUCUCAUAUUCUAGUGUAAUAGCAAAUCCAACAGCGUACAUUUUUCUCCUGCGAGUAAUUUGCCUUUUAAGAAUUCUUUGUUCUUCCAUUUGUUUUCCUCCUUCCGCCUAGUCCUGAAGUAUAUGCUAUUAGUGUGACAAGAGUUCUAGAAAAAAUGCUCCAAACUAAGAAGAAUGCUGGUGGAAGGUAAAAUUUCGCGGGUUCGAUUUCCUUCGGUUGCAUCUAGCCUUCAUGAUCCACAAACUUUCCACGAAUUGGAUGCUUUGAAUACACAAUGAACAUCACUGGAGACCUUGGAACAAGAUUAGUCUUAUCUCUAUGGGAAGCUUAUGGAAUUUAACUGCCUCCCGAUCUCCAUUAUCCCAGAUAAUUAGAGUAUCAUCCAUCCCUCAAAUUCCUUGUUCAAGAUUCCAAUUAAUGCAAAACGCUGGUAAGAGAAACAAGAAAUUUUUUUUUUUUUUGGUUGGGGGGUUCUGCAUCCUAUUGUAACUUUCUGAAUGUCUGUGUUGUGGUUACUGAAAUUCCCUUUUGGAGAAUUAUCGAGCUUUCAUAGGGAAGAUAAAAAAUAUACAGUCUAGCACUCAAGUGCCUGCCUUUACCUCUUGACCAAUUCCAAAUUUGUUCAGGAGAACAGUAAGGUUUUGAAGGAGCUCUACAGUGUGUUUGGAUACCUCUUGACCAAUUCCGAAUUCGUUUCGGAGAACAGUAAGGUUUUGAAGGAGCUUUACUGUGUGUUUGGAUAGUAAAUUAUUUGAAAUAAUUUUAUAAAAAAAUAUUGUAAUAUUUUUUUUGAUGUGAUGUAUAUGAGAUAACUCUGUCACCAUUACUGCGUUGGAGGUAGGCCAAUUGAUCAUCGCUUUUGUCUUCUCUGUUGCAAUCGCGUUUUCAAUCUUGUUGGCUUAUAGUGUACAAACACUAUGAUAAUGCAUUUUAUCUCCUCUGAAUAUCAAAGUAAAGUAAGACAGCCACGCUUUCAAACAGUUAUCCUUAAUGAUGUUUAGAUGAUCCCAAAUCCCUCAUGCAACAUGCAAAUUACUCAAAGGUAGAAACCAUCAUAAUGAGUCUAAAGACCUUUUGAAUUGGGGGAUAUCCCGGACUCGGGGCACGGACGGUUGCACCUGCAACCGUCCCUGCCAGUUUUGGUCAUUAUCAACUGCGCGUAAUUUUCUUUGUACAUCGUGUAACUUUACUUGCACAUCGCCUAACUUUAAAGCAAAUUUUUGUGGGACCCACACAUAGCGCGGAAAUCGAGUUACAACUUGUUAUCUCAACCGCACAAAUUUUUGAGGGGGAAUCUGGGCCGUUAACCGGACAGGGACGGCCCCAUUUCCGGGAUAUCCCAUCUGCUGCCCCUCAAUUCUGGGUACUGUAGCAAUGAUAAUAUUUUAGCCAUAUGUUAGUAAUUAUUGGUAUUUUAGCCAUAAUACCAAUGAUAAUGUCCCAAGAUAACUGAAAAAGGGCAUCUGGCCUUGGUGUACUUUGAUUAGAUGCUAUUGAAGGAAGGACAGAGUGCUUGUUGUUAGGAUGUCAUUUCCAUAGGCCUAUAGGAAGUGGCUGGUGAAGAAGUCUUCCAUCGCCUUGCCAUAUGCCAACACAAUCUUGAUUGUGCUAUAAUGUCGACGAAAAUGACAAGUUCCUUUUUGUAACAUUUGAGAGCAACAUGUCAUUUGUCCCCAUUUUUGCCAAUUUGGCAUAUGGGGAUAAACUAAGAGCUGAGGCUUAUCUUUCUUGAAAAAGACGUCAUAUCAAUCUAGUUAUUCUAACACAUAAAUAACAGGUUCCCUCGUGUGCUUUCUUUCUCCCGAAAAGGUUAAAAGGCUUAGGAGAAAGACAGCCGACAGUCUAAUCCGCCUUUUUUUGUACCCAAAAGAAGACAAAUCUUUUGUGUUUUGGCUUCUAUGCAUUUUAGGACUGCGGCCAAGUCGAAUCGAGUUUUAGGUUAAUCGAGUCGAGUCUUCACUAAAUUUUACUAAAUUUGAACUUGAACUCGAGCUCGACGAGCCGGUAAUUUAAAACUCGAGCUCGACUCGAAUCAAUUUAAAUCUGUUUUCGAGCCGGCAAUAAAAAUAGUUAUUUUAUAUUUUUUAAAAAAAAAUAAAAUAAUAUUUUUUUCUUAAUAAAUAAUAAAAUAUUAAGGAUAUAUAUAUAAUUUUACUAUUAAAAUAAAAAAUAAAAAUUAUAUAUAUACACUUAAAAUAUAAAAUAUAUAUACUUAAAAUAUAAAAAAUAAAAAAUAUUAUAUAUAUAUAUAUACUCGAGCUCGCGAGCUAACGAGCUUAAUAUUUUGAACUUGAGUUCGAGCUCGAUUUCGAGUCGCACCAGCUCGAGUUCGACUCGAGCCGCUUGCAAGCGGCUCGAUUUGUUUGCAGCCCUAAUGUAUAUGUCUAUUGCUCUUGCUUCAUAUCAAAUAACCAAUUUGGCCGUCGAGGGAGUUUUAAAAUUUCACUUUGUUAUAAAUCGAAGAACCAAAUUUCUUAUCUUACAUUCUAAAAACAUUUCUUCAACAGGUGUAGAGAUACUUUUCUGAACCGGUGGUGGUUCAUCGAAUUAUUCUUAACUUCUUUAGAUCUAUGUACUCAUCUGGAUUGGUAAUGGCUCACCGGAUUCGCCUUGAUCUUUUUAGAUCUCUUUCUUCCUGGUGUAGAAUAGGAGUAGCUGCAGCAAUUGUAUACUUCCUAUCAAAUAGUGCACGUAGAAUAGACAAUUUCACUUGAGUUUGUGCUAAAUGAACGAUGUUGAGGUGUAAAUUAUAGUCAAUGAUGUAAUUAAGCAGAAUACGAAAGGCAUUAAGCAAAAUUUCUCUCAUGAAAUUAUACUCUAGUGAAAUUACAAAACAAAAAAAGACCCAAGUCAAUUGGAAAAUCAUUUACACCAAGAAAACUACAAAUAUUUUUGGUAAGCUUCAAUGAAAGAAUAUGGGAUUUUGUUGCACUUUGUAAUUAUAGCCCAUCUAAGCACCAUCGCGCGAGUGAGUGAAGCUGGUCAAACAUCUUGAAAGGUGAAAUAUUUAUUUAAAUAAAUUAUAAUUUAUUAUGAACUGUUUAUACAAACUUCACGAUAAAAGCUGUGAUAUUUUGGCUAUUUAUUUAAAUAAAUUAUAAAUUAGUAUCAAUUAUUUAUACAAUUUUAUAAGGAAUUAAUUAUGCAGUUCAGUUUCCGGCCCCUUCCCCUUUACACAAAUGCUUAAUCGGUUGACUUCCAUCUGUCCCACGUCACCAAAAGCUAGCCCAAACGACAUCGAACGCAGACAAACUCAAAGCAAAAGUCAAAAGAACCCUCAAUAAAAUUCAAUUAUUUCCUCCAAGGACACAAAUCCAAACCGUUAGGCAACGUUUGGAUUGAAGGAAACAGUAGAGAAAACGCGAAUCCAUUCAUCUUAUAUAUUAAAAAAAUUACAAACGAAAGGAAAGGAAAGAAAAUUAUCAUGUAUUAGUUACAUUUUAUUCAUAAUUUAAAAAACACAUAAAGAUUUUUUAGAAAAUUUAAAAAAAAUUUUCAUUAAUACUGGCAUUUUUUCCCCUCCGUUCCUGCUCACUUUUGGAUAGAAAACAAGUCGACAAAAAAAAUAACGAAUGACUAUUGGGAUUACUAACUUUGAAUAAAAGUACUUAUUAAUUGUUUGAAUGCUUUAAUGUAUAUUAUUUGUAAAUGUAGUUCAAUAAGUACUUAUUGUAUUGAAUAAUAUGUAAUUUAAAUUUUUAAAAAUAUAUUUAUCUCUUUAUUUAGUUCAUAAUAUAGGAUAAAACGAUUAAAUGAAAUAUUUUAUUUUUUUAAAACAUAAAAACUAUUUUCAAAGCAUUAAAUUUGGACUUUUGCUAGAAGUUCUUUUAACACCAAACCUCUACCCCUAAUUUAUAAAUUGAUAUUCACCAAAUGCUACAAAAAUACUUUCAGCACCCAAAAAUACUUUUUUAUCAAAAAAAAAAAAAAAAGGUCUAAAUCUUAGUGCCCAAAAGCAGUAGACUUGCGUGCCCAGCGCAAACUAGCAUUAUUGACCGCUUCAAGAAAUCCCCAGAGAACCAGAACUCUUGACUUGAGAGGGAGAGAGAAAGAGACUAAAAUAAAAAGCAGAGAAAAUUCCAAAAAAAAUCACAUGAGGAAAAAACACAGAUGGAAGCUGGACACUGCAACAAUUUUUGCUAUUUUGAGUAUACAAACACCUUACCUUUGCCUUCUUCUCUUUACCAGUAUUAGGGUUUUUGCAGAUUUUUCUACUGCAACAACCAAAAACUCCAUUUUUCUCUCCAUUUUUUAAGCCAUUUUUAAUUACUUGAAAUUACUAACAAACUCACGCAAUAGUAAAAAUAUCGGUUUAUCUUCGAAAACACAGGACAGCUCCAAAGGGGGAAAAAAAAAACAGCGGUUAAAGAAAAAGGUUUUAAAAAGUUGUAUUUUUUAAUGUUGAGAAUUUUCUAAACUAUCACAUCAUAUUUAUUUGUUUAUUCAUACUGGGAUUAUUUUACUACUAGCAUUGAUUGAUAGAACCGACAUGAAAAAUAUAUUCUGAAACAUAUACAGAUAUAUACAUAUUAUAUAUACACAUACGACACAUUGUUGCUGCAGAGGAAGGAGAAAGGGGAGAAGCAUUGUGAAGUACUUCUUCAACUGGUGAGUUUUUCUUUUGUUUAAGGUUUGCUGUUUGUUUGACAUCGUUAUAGUUGUUUAUUAAUAUCAUCAAAAUGUUGAUAAUCUCGUAUGCCUGUUAGUUAGGAGUUGUGUGAUGUUUUUGUUAGUUUUUAGUCAUCUGUUUUGUUAAAUUUUUCGUUUUUGAUGUAGUUCUUUAACUGUUCCAUUGGGCUGUUUAGUUUUUAUUGCAAAGUAAUAAGUUUCUUUGUGAUGAUGAUGACUCGUCAAAGGGUUGGAAAGCUUUUCUCCAUGUUAGUAAUGCUGCUGUUUAUGCAUAUUAUGUUCCUUUACCUGUUUAUCGAAUGCUACAGAAGUACUGUAGACAUAUUUUGCAUGUUUUUGGAUGGUUGUCUUUCGAGAUAUUACUAGCAUAAGUAAAUUCAGCUAAGCCUCACUUUUUCCCUCAUGGAACUUUCUAGGAUUCUUGUAAUUGAUCAAUCAAUAGUUUCAGUAACAGCAAACUUUUUUUUUGGUGAUCAAUUAUGGCCAUUUUUUUAUUUAGUUAUUUUUGGCUUGCGAAGAAGUUGUGGAUUAACUCUCUGGAAAUUUUUCUUACAUCUUGUAUUACGCAAAAUUGCAGCGUUUUGAUGGAAAAUGUUUGUUAGGAGCAAGUUUUAGUAACUAUGCAGAUCAAUCUGUUUUCUUUCCUUAAUCAAAAGAACCUAUAAAGGGAGCUCAUUUUGCAAUUCCAUGAUGUCAAUUUCAUUUGCCUCAAAUUAUGCAAUGCUUUUCCUCUAUCAAGCAAAAUCUAAAAGUUGGAUUCUUGUAGUGACUGCAUUCAAGAGGAAUCUGAAGAGUGGCUUUGUAACUUCUGCCAUUUAAGAUAGCUGCGCUGCUUUGAUAUGGCAUUUACAUGAAGAACGAGUAAACAUAUAUUUUAGCGCAAAGAGACGAGAGAAUGUUGUUUAGCCUUAUCUUUCCUUGUUUUGAUAUUUGUGGCGGAGUUAGAGUGAAAUAAACAUAAUUGGCACGGUGCAAAAGGUGAAGGCAAAUGUCAAUCUUGUAGCUUACAGAGUACUAUUUUUCACCAUAGCAUGAUAAUGAUAUUAUUCUCUAUCUGCUGCUGUGGUGGUCCUAUGAUAGAAUUGAUAUUUGGGCUUGUUGCUAAUGUGCCACUGGAGAUGUUUUUAUCAUUGUCUAUGACAUUAGGAUUUCUUGCCAGUGUUUUUGGUGCGAUCAUCUUACACUUGUUACAUCCUGCAGUAUCUGAGUUUCUUGCCAAGAUGUUAGUCUUCUUGUCCUGUUGCAAGUAUUGUUGUCAAUACCAUUCUAUGUUUUCCUGUACAUUUUUGCUGCUAUUAUAUCCCACGGUCAUUCACUUCACGCUCAGUUCUUACUGACAUUUAUUUGGUUGCUGGCUCUUUUGUUUUUUCUUUUCUUUUUUUUUUUUCCUUCAAAUUUUUUAACGGCUUUGGGAAGCAGCUGUUUUCUCAUCACAUCUUUGAUAGGUAUGGUUAUUGGAAUUUGGGGGCAGAGAUUGGCUAAUGGUUGUCAACCUUGGUCAGACUAAGCAUUAGAGCAUUUCCUGAGUUUUUAAUCUCCGCUUAUUUUGCUUUUCAUUAAGCUGUUUGAACUUGCUUGCACCGGAGGUUCUCUACACCAGUAUAAACAUGUGCCUUAGGACAAGUCAUAAGUUUCAUACUAGACUAAUUGCUGAUACAGGCAUUUGUAUUGUUUAAGCCAAGCUUGUGAUAGUCACUAGUCUCAUAUAACCCAAGUUUGACUUCUAGGUGAAGGAGAAUACAUAUAAGGUUCAUUGCCCAGUUCUUCCCCAGUUAAUCUGGAAGGUGAAGAAGAAGAUUCAGUAUGGGCAUUUAGAACUUCUCUGGUUGCUGACCUGGCUGCAAUCUCAAUCAGAAAACUUAAUUGGCAAGUCUUAGCAGCAUACCACAACAAUUAACAUGUGGUAUUUCUAUGAAUUUGGUCAAUCAGCAUUGCUAUGGACAUUUUCAGAAUACAAUGUUGUAACAUCUAGAGUCUUUUUAUGCUACCAAAUUACAAAAUUGUGUUGAUUUUUGUAAAUUUUCUACUUGAAAGAAUAGUAAUUCUGAAAUCAAAUUUGUUACCUUCUGCAGUAUGUGACGUGCAUAGUGUAUAUGGGCAGAAUCUGAAUCAAGUAAAUACUUUGUUUGUUUAGCAGGAAGACUAUAAAAAAUCCGUCUGUCGAAUUGAAAAUCUCUUAAAUUCAUCAAUAGUAUUAUGUUUUAGAUGGUCCCAGGAAUGUUGUCCUUGCUUUUAAGAGGGUGAGAUGAAUUACUGUUUGUUGCAAUUUUUUGUGGUAAUUUUAUUAAUUACCUCCCACUGUGUACUCUUGUUUGUAUUCUUGGUUUCUCUCUUCCUAAUACGUUAUGGUUACCUACUUACCUCCAAUUGAGGCUAGUAUUUCUUAGUUUGAUUGUUUCCCUUGUCAAUGCCCUUUCUAUAAACAAUCAUCUGCUCUUUCAGGUUAUAGACUUGUGCUGGAGGUCCUUCAUAUUGUAGAAGAUAAGAGCGGAAACAAAUCUCUGCCUGUCUUGGUAGCUUGGAGAAGAAGUGUUUAGUAUUACAUUGAUUGCUGGAACGAAAUUUGUAUUGGAGCAAAUGAUGUUUCCUUAUCUGGAAUGGUGUAACAUUAGAUUUUUUUCCAGGUGAUUCACUGUGAGCAAAAUGUCAGCGUGUCUGAAUUCUUAGUAGUGCUUAUUGGUCCUAUUCAGAACUCUCAAUAGAAUCCUAUAUUAUUAAGUUAAGGUGAAUAAUUAGAUUAAAGGCACCUGCUGAAAAAAGAAUAAAAAAAAGACUAACUUUCUUCGAUAGAAAAUUUUUUGGUCACCUCCUGUGUUAAGUGUGUGUUAUGCACUAAAACUCAUAAAUUUGCUUUCCAACUUAAUACACGUGUUUCGCAUCCUUGAGGUAGUUGUCAUGUAAUUAAAUUUGGUAUGUCAGAUACAAUUUGAUAUAUAUAUAUAUAUAUAUAUAUAUAUAGACAACAAAAUCAAAUGCUAAAGAACUAUUUUUCUCGUCUUCUAUGACUAGGUCGUGAAUUUAGAUUGCAUUAUUUUCUCUGAAAUUUCAUUAGAACUUUCUUUUAUUUUUGCAACUUAUAUUAGCAUCUCAGAAAUUUGUUAUCAUGUAGGACCUUCAUCUUGUUUACUUAAACAUGACGAUGGAUGAAAGGGUUGAAGAUCUGCAGAAUCGAGAUGAAACUCAAAAAGCAUGGUCGAUAUCUGCACAUGCCUUUUCCGAUUUAUCACAUGUCUCACCAUUGAUGUUUCUGUACCUUCUAAAAGAAUCAUACACAUGCGGUAAAAUUCUCCAUCCUUUUCUGAAUUUGAAGAUAUUUUAAUCUACCUCUUUUAUGGAAUCUGUUGUUGCUGAACCUUGCUGAUUGUUUAAUUCCUCUGUUGAAUUGAUGAUCAUUAUCAGGAUUUCAUUUUGCUUUCUUUUUUUGUUGAUCGUCACCACGCAUCUAUAUGGAUCUAAGAGAAGUCACAUUAGUGGCAACGUGAUGGGAGGCGGCAGGGUUUGAACGCUUGACCUCCCACCCUACAAAUACAUGUGGUGGCCAACUACUUUAUCUUCCAUUGGUUAAUUGGCUGAAUAGUUGUAAUAAUUGAAGAAAGUCUUUUUUGAAGGAACAAUGGUUUUAUAAUUUGCCAUAUUCAUGAUGGUGGAAAAUAGAUGUGAAUCAUGCUUGGAUUGUGAGAAAAUUUUUACCCAAAUCAUGAAGUUUGCCAGAAAAACUGGAGGAGAUAACAACCUUUUAUCAUGGACUAUGUUAGCCCUUCAGAAUAUAUUCUUUAACCACCUAAACUGUGCCUUUUGAAGAAGCUUUGAAGAGUUUACUAAUUACACUGUUACAUCUUACGCUCGGAAGAAGACAGGGUAAGGUUUAGAAACGGAGUAAGAAAGAAACAAAAGUAAGUUGUUGGAGAAAAUGAAAGCAUCAUCCAAAAAGAGUUGAGUGUAGCAUGAGAAAAAUAUAUGAGAUGAGAUUUGUAGUAGCACUCGCCAGUGCGUAUGACAAAUUGUGGGGCUAAAGCACGAUAUCAGACUAGUCGGAAUUUCUUCAUUGCUGUUGUAGUCAGUUAGAUAUGGAUUUCUUUGAAGUUUGGCAGAAAGGCUAUCCACUUCCUAUGCUGCUCAUUAUAGUGUUUGGUAAGCAUAUGAUGGUAUAGAUUUAGCCACUGUCUAAACUUUAAAACAUUGUUAUGUUCAUUGCAAGCAAUAGUGACAAUAACUUGGUUGUUUUACUCUGAUAUCAAUUGAUAUUUUGUAUCAAUGUAAACUUACAGUUGCUUCUUUUGUGGCCAAUAAAUUGAAAUCUUUAAGGUUUGCUGAACUAGUUUACAGAAGCAUCAUAAUUACUGGAUUUUAUUGUGAAUUAUAGUAAAACUAUUUUAGAUUUGAAGCUUAAGAAGCAGCAGUACUUUCUGCUUAGGUUUUGACAGCUUUCCUUUUCUUCAGUACUGCCAUUGCUAUUUUGCAAUGUUUACUGCAGUUACUUUUAUUUCCCUGUAUUUCUAUUACAUAAAUAUUGCAUUUAUAGGUGAACUAAAAGCAUCUGCCAAGUUCCGUAGACUUAAAGAUCAAGUCCUUCAGGUCCUACACAAUGGUCCCAAACCUGGACCGGCCAUUUUUGUCGCUCAGUGUCUGUACAUUUUGCCCAUAUUUGAUACAUAUCGCAACGGAUUCAGUCACUUGAUAAUAUCUGCUCUUCAUCACUUUUUGAAAUCGGGAACCACUCAAGAAGACAAACUAGAAGCAAAACUGCUAGCUGCCAAAUUAUUCCUGCUUAGAGUUCAAUACAGUCUGGUUCAUGAUGAAAAGGUUUUAGUAAAGAUCCUUGAAGUAUUUGAUGUAAGUUUGACAGAUAUAGAGAUAGGCAUGCAAGAUCUGGAUGCAAAAGGUGACGUUAGUCCAGACACAGCAAAAGUACUUAUCGAGCAGUAUGUAUCCAAGCUGAUAGAAUCUGAGUCAUUUAUGACAGCAAUUUCUUUAUUAGAACGCUUCUCCAUUCAAUGGUCUGGAGAGCCUUUCCUACUACAGAUGAUUCAAUGUAAUAAAUUUAGAGCAGCAGAAAGGUGGGCUACAUUUAUGGGAAAACCAAUGCUGCAAGUGCUUGUACAGGAAUAUGUUAAGCAAAAACAACUAAAGCCUGCUUAUGAUGUUAUAAAGGAAAACAAUCUUUGCCAGGAAUUUCCAGAAGUGUGUCAACAAUAUAAAGAAAGGCAAGUUUAUUUUACUCAUUUCUUGCUGGCAUCCUGCAUGUUUCAAUCUUCCUAUGGUCAUAAUUAUUGUAAAAAUUUACUUAUUGUACUCGUCAUAUUGAUAAGUAUGAGUUCAAAUUGCAGCUUGCUAAAGAAGCUAGCAGAACAUGGCUGCUGGGACAAUGCAGAGGCAAAGGCGAAAGGCAAUAGACAAUAUUUGGAGUAUGUGGUAGGUGGUGUACACAAUAGAAUUAGAUUAACUCCGUGGAUAAUUUUGUCCUUAUUAUCAAGAAAAACAAAGGAAAGGCUUUUCCCUAAUUCUAAGUUGUUAGUGCACAAUAGUUUGCUGAAACCAACUUACUGUAGUUGACCAAUGACUUCCUUCUCUUCAAAAAUAGUUGUCUGAAAUUGGAUUACCACCAAAGUUUGGUAGAGUAAUUGUGUAAGUUUGUUGAGAUCCAUUGUGGCCUGGGUACUACGUGGAUAUAUUUCUACUUUCCUCAUCUUGGACUUCCUCAAUCCUGUAGGAUUAUUAUGGUGUUCUACAACUAGUGCCAUAAUAAAACAUAUCAAGGGAAAUAUAUGUUCAUCUUCCCUGACAACUAUUCUUAUGCUCAAAUUAAGAAAAGUUUUGGAGAUGUUUCAUAGAAGCUAUCGUAAACAUUUAGUCAUGCUUUGCUUAAUGAAUAUAGAGGUGAUGUGUCUGAAAGGAUGAUAGAGAAGAAUCUGUUUUCAAGUUUAUUCUGGCUUAUUGGUUAGGAUUUUGCUUUAGGAUUGAGCACGUCAGUUUACCAUUGUAUCAUCCUUUCACUGUGGUUCAGGUUCCAAAAUGUAAAGGUCCUUGUAGUGGAAUGAACUUGUUAAAAAAUCUUAAGGUGAUUAUUGUAGCGGACAGUAAUUGCUCCUUCAAUUUGGCUUAACCACAUGACAGUUGCAGGAAGAGCCUUGGAGAAGUUCUGGUGUUGUGGAAUUCGUGGUACUGUGGGUCGAUUAAUACUCCGCUGAGGGAGAGACUUAUUUAGAAUCUAGGGACAUUUUUUGCUUGGUGUUGUUAAUAAUUUUCUUUCUUUUCCUUGUUUGAUCUUCUCAUCUCUGAGGCUGCAUUUGCCCAUUCCAUCUGUUCUUUGUCCCCCCCCCCCCUCCUAAAAACCCAAAAAAAAGUCCAUCUCUUCCAAUUCACCCACUGGUAUUAAUGUGCACCACUCAUGUGUAUGUCAUUUGUGUGUGUGAGAGAGAGAGACACACAUGCACAACACAGAGAGAGAGAGAGACAGACUGAGAGUGAGUCGAAGACAGCUAGAGCUUUUCUUAGAAUCCUCCAAAUUGAGGAGCUUAUAGACUGGCUAGUCACUUCUCUCUUGCACUAAGCCACUGGGCCCACAGCAAGGACUAAAUUUCGUUAUUUUUCUUCCAGAUGGUUUGAAUGUAUAAUCUGAUAAAUGUACACCAUUAAGCAGAGGCUGAGAAAUUAGUUGUUAUAUUUUCUUUUAUUGAAUAAUGAGUCACUACCUACCUAUUCACAAUCGUUGACAAUAAUUCUUACUUCAGCAUCAUGCAUAUAUAAAGUUCCACAUUUUUGCUUUUAAAAGAAAUAUUUGCCAUUAAAAUUUCACAUGGUGGAAAUGUUAGUAACUCCAUACAGUUCUUUGGUAAACUUCAUAGAUACAGAAGUUGUGGUCUGCAAAUUAUUGUGCAUGAUUUUUGAUUUUUGCUUCUCUUGAGACCUAUGUAGUUUAUAAUAUUUUAAUAAUUUUUACAUUUUAAGGUAUAUUUGGCAAUGGAAGCAGGCUACGUAGAGAAAGUUGAGGAACUCUGCACGAAAUACUCACUUGAAGGUUUCGAGAAUGUCAAAAGUAAGCUGGAUCUCCAUUUCUGUACUUGAUUCUUACAGCUUUCUUAAUAUGCAUGAGAAACAAAUUGGUUAAGUGUUACCUGCAAUAAUUUAUUCACUCCAUUCUUAUGUUUCUAACUGGUUCUUGCUUGGUUUACUUAUAAGGCAAUUUUAUUACUUAAGAAGAUGCCAUCAUGCAGAUUUGAUUUGAAAUGAAGUAUGUUGCAUCUGCUUACUAUGACUGCUAUUAAUUUGUAAAAUGCAAGUGCAUUGAAUUGUUUUGGCAAUGCUAAGCCACAGCAAUACAGCAUAAAAGUUAGCUUAAUGGUUCCGAGCUGGCUAACUUUUCUUUUCACAUUGUUUACAUUUGUGAAUUCGAAAUCCUUAUCUGUUGAAUCUUCAUUUGAGUUGACGAUGAUGCAAUGAUCUGAAUAUAGCGUCUUUUCCUUCGCCUCUCAUCAGUUGUUUUCUGUGGUUUUACAUCUGCCAUCAUCCAUGCACAGCUUUGAACAGCUUGUGCAUUGAUAUUAGGUGGAGUGGAGAUUUUGUACCAGAUAAGCAAAGAAUAACACAAACUCAUAAAAGAGUUAGUAAAUGCCUUUUAAAGUUAUAUCCCCAGUAUCAGAUAUUUAUUGUAUUCACUGCAUCGAUUUUCCUAUCAAAUUCCAUAAAAUACUUAAGUUAGCAGCCACUCAAACAUCCUGUCCUUUUACAAACAAGGAAAUGGUUGGUUAUGAAGUUUUAAGGUUUGAAAGAAGAAUUUGGUAGUACUUUGGAUGCAUGCAUGUGCUUGUUUCUCUUUGGGGUGGGGGUGGGUGAUAGAUAGAGAGAGAAAUAUAAUGGAUAACAGAACCUUGUCAGAAUAGAUAUAGAAGGUCCUUUCUUCUAGUCCCUCUCCCAUUGCCCAAGUUUUAACAGGAGUGCUUUAUGUCAUGAUUUGCAAGUUUCAUUUGUAAGAAGAUAUCUGCUCUGAAACUCCGCCGGCAUUUGGUCUCAAUUUUUAUCUAGGCAGAGCCGCUUUUUCUGCUUUACAGAGAGCAUGAGAUGAAAGCACCUAAUUUUGAAAUUUUCAGAUCACGAUUCCUACAAAUUUUCUUUUGCGUUUGUAGAAUUCUUCAGUAGUCUUCUUGUUAUAAGGGUACAUCAUCCACUUCAGAUACCAACGAGAAAUUAUUAUUUGUUUGUAGACCAUUUCAUUUGUUUAAUUAACAUUAGAAUAAGUAGUACUUAAAUCUAUUUGCUUCAUUAUUGUUUUGCAGAGACUGAAGCAAAUCUCAGAAAGAGUUGCUACCUGCAUCUUGAUGACCUGUGCAUCGAGGAUGUAGUGUGGGUUGAUGAAGUAGAUGGUUUGCGUGAUGCUACAUUCCACCUUGAGGAAUUUAAAGUUGUUGGCCUUGAUUCUGAAUGGAAGCCCAAUUAUGAAAAGGGCAGUGCACCAAAUAAGGUAAUGCUAUGGAAUUGUCUGUUUUGGUGCUUUUAAGAAUUAUGCUUUGUCACGAAGACUGAUAAUUGUUUAGUACAUGAUUUAGCUGGAGAUGUUUUGAUGCUGAUGACAAAUGUACCUUAACUAAAUUGUCUUAACUUCUUAAAAUGCAUCCGCCAGAAGGAUGCACGGGUAUUUUCUUACCAAAACCCUUACAUUUUUAUGCUAGAAUAAAGAGAUUUUUCUCAAAUCCUGCUGCUGCAUACGAGCAACAAUAUGUUCUUAAUGUUUGCCUGUUUAUUGAUGGAUGUCUUAGAAAGCAUUAGUUCUCUCUAUUGUUUUCUUCUGCUUGGAGGGUUCAAAAAUCUUUUCCAAGUUAUAAAGAAAAUGCUUGAUGUUUCACGGAAUUUAUUUUAUUUUAUAAGAGAAAGUGAUCUAAAAUUUGUUGCUCAUUGGCAAAACAAAUAAAUAGAGGACGAAUUUGGAGUACUAACAUAACUUCUACUUGUAAAAUUAGUGGAUGAGGAAAACUGAAAGAAUGAAAUUGUAAGUUGAUUUGAAAAAAAAAAGGGUCUUAUGACUAGUAGAGAAAAAGGAUUCGUUAGCAUGUGCUCAAGAUAGUAUGAGAACAAAAACUUUGCCUGUUUAGUCGAACUGGGGAAAAAAAAAUGGUCUUAUGACUAGUCAGGGAAUAUCCUUAUUCACUAUUCAGCCUUGCACAAGCUUCUAUCAUAGGCCAGGAGAGGAAAAAUGCUUCUCUGCGUCAUGGUGGCCUUAUGUUAACCUCAGUUCUUAACCUGCUACCCUCUAGCUCUGAGAGAACUAUUGUUCCUAAGGUUGACAUCACUAAAUUGGAUCAUUGUUAAACCGUCUAUAUGCAUUUCAUGUUCAUCUGUGGUUUGUUUGCCAUAGAGAUGUACUGCAUAAAAAAUUUGUUACCCUGUCUAAUUGUAGAACAGGCAAUUUUCUUGGCUUUAAAAUAUGGUACAGUCCUUUCUCUCCCAGAGUCUCCAAUUUCACAUGAUCCUUGACUCCUCAUCUAUCCUCUCCCCCUCCCCAACAAAAAAAAUAACCAAAAAAAAGUAAUUCCUUUGUGUACCUUUAGGUGUUUGGGUGGGGGUUGAGGGUGGAUCUUCUGCAAGAAGCAAAUUCUGUUAUGUAGCAGAACAAUUUUGUGGUGUUUGAUUGGUAGUAUGUUUCGAAAUCUAACAGUGCUAGACAUGCUCUUAUCGUACAUAUUGCUUUUUCUUUUCUUUUUUUUCUGCAAUUUCUGCUUGUUUUGUGAAUUUUCAGGUCUCUAUCAUGCAAAUUGCUUCGGAAACCAAGGUCUAUAUACUUGACCUGAUAAAGUUAUAUGAUAGUGAUCCUGAUAGUUUAAAUCAAUGUCUAAGCCGAAUAUUGCAUUCUUCCAGGAUUCUGAAACUUGGUAAGUACAAAACACUCCGCAGAGCUUUACAACAUAAUUAUUCUUUACUUGUACAGAUAUUUGCUUCUUCUUUAGUCAGGAUUAAACCAGUUAAUAUUCCUGAGUUUUCUUGUACUACAUUCCCAUUUUAUGAUCUGACUCGUAUUUAUUACCAUGAAACUGUUGGAUUAGUAUUGGCUUAUCUGUAUAGUCUGUUGUACCGAACCAUUGUGUCCGAUUUUAUCUAAAAGCACUGCAAUUUCUUUCUUUUCUAAAGUAGCAAGCAAUUUCUGUCAUAUUUUGGUAGUUAGAUUUAUACGUCAAAAUGGUACUGGUGGUUUUGACAUACAAAAUUUGUAGGCUACAAUUUUCAGUGUGACAUCAAGCAGCUUGCUUACUCUUAUCAAGAUUUGCAGUGCUUUGAGCACUAUGAGAUGCUGCUUGAUAUUCAGAAUGUGUUCAAGGAACACCGUGGUGGUCUCUCUGGUCUAGCAGAGGUGAUUCCUAAAUUUGGCAUCUUCAAAGCAUGCUCAAUAUAGUAUCUCUUAUGGCAUUCCUUCAAGUUUCUUUUGCUUAUAACAUCUCAACAUAUAUUGGCAUCAAUUACUGAACUUUCUGAUGGACAUGAAUAAUAUUAAUGGAUACAGAAAGUACUGGGACGAGGCUUAAACAAAACGAGACGAAAUAGCAACUGGGAGAAGAGACCUUUAAGCAUUUAUCAGGUGUGUGAUCUUUUAACAUUCUUUUUUAAUCGAUUUAUGUGGACUCAACUUUUACUCACAAGUAAGAACAUAAAUCUCAAAUGUCAAUGGAGGCGUGGACCUGUUCUAAAUACUGGUACCACGCUAGCAGAUUGAGGGAACGAAGUGCAUCUAUUAAUCUUUGAAGUAUCAACUUGGGCCAAGGUUCUCAGCAGUUAAACCACAGUUGUUGCGGAUAGAUCACUGAUUUAGAUUCAAUGUUUCAUACUCAUUAACUUUUGCGGCUCUGAUUUUCAGAUUAAUGUCAUGUUGAAUGCUUGUGCAGUUAGAGUAUGCUGCUCUUGAUGCUGCAGUUCUCCUCCACAUUUUCCGGCACGUUCGUGACCAUGUACAGCCUGCAGCUGUUGCUAAUGAACACAGCAAAAUUGAGUGGAAAUCUUACAUUGUAAGCACAAUAUUAUCCCUCGCCGUGCUGUGCUAGAUCAUCAAUACUGAAGAAAGGUUUGCACAAGGGAAGGGGCAUACCCCUUAUUGUGCUGGUUAGCUAUAAGUUAAGUUUUCUCAAUUUCCUUAAAUAGAUGUUUACCUCCAAAACUUUUCAGGUUUCGCACAAGGACAAAGUUGGAAGAAUCAAGAAAAGGAGCUAAGAGCAGAAAAGAGAAUGUUCCUGAGGCAGAUGAGGGUGCCCUGAAAUCUUAACAAUUCACCUGAGGAACAUAAUGCUAGGGACGCCUAACCUAUAUUUCAGCCGAAUUCUCUUUUAGCUGUGACAGAUGUUUUCUGUUUUGACAAAUAGGGGAAGAUCUUUGCUAUAAUCUUUAUGAAUGUGCAUGUGAAACUUAUUUAGCAGGGUAAACAAUGCCUGCAAAUGAACGCUUUUAGUCCUCAAACGGACUAAUUUUUUAUUUUCUAGACCCCAAGAGGUUCAAUUAAAUGAGUAAAUCUAUGGGGGCUUAAACGAUAACUCCCUUCCCUAAUCUUGUGUCUUAGAUAAACAAAGAUCUCUUAGCAAAUUCUAUAUGUUGGUGUAUUUUCUUGAUUGUACCUUUAUGUAUACGCUGGCAAUUAGAAAUCUUGGUCGUUACCCCCUUUUAUAAUUUCCACCUACGGUACAUUCGAAUUCUAGUCUCAUUAACGUCUUCUUGGGGAGUCAAAGAAUUCUAAAGGAGUCAAAGAAAUCUAACUUUUCAUUACAACCGUUCCUUGGCAUCUCUGUAUAUAUCUAUCUAUAGCCUGAACUCUCUCUUCUCCUCCAUCUCCUCUCAACAAACCAUCCGGAGAAGAGAGAGACAGAGGAAGAGGAAGAGAGAGAGAGAGAGAGAGAAUGACCGAGUUCGAGGCUAGUCACCGGAGGACGGCAGGGCAAACUCUAGAAAUCAUCAAUGGUAAAGCAUAUGGUGCAAACAAUGUAUGUGUAAUCCGAUCAAAUAACCAUUUUGCAAACCAAGCUGGAAGAUAUCAGGUUACGGAGCCAACCAGCACCCCAGCACCACCCCCACCACCACCAACGUCGUCGUCUCGUUCGUGGAUCGAUUAUCGCCAAUUGAACAGAAGAAAGAGAAUUGCUACCUACAAAUAUUACGCAUACGAAGGCAAGGUGAAGAAUUCUAUCAAGAAAGGUUUCCGUUGGAUCAAGCGUACCUGCAGGAAAAUAGUUCAUGGAUAUUAGGUAUAGAGCUAGACGUGAAAUAUUGAGUUAGAUGACCAUGAAAAAGGGUUUGUACGGUUGGGGUACAAUAUCACUUUCCAUGCUGCAUGCAAGGUCCAUAUUUAUUUGCGUGUGCUUUUUCCUCCUAUUGAUAUCUUCUUUCAUCGUCCAAUAUUCUAUGCUUUGCAGAACAUGAGAUCUCGCAAAAUAUGUUGGCUUUAUUUUCUCUGUUUCCUUGAGAAUUACGUAGAAGAAUGUGGUUUGCUCAUUGAAUAUGAGAUCAAAAUCUACCCCGAAUGAGGGAUUCAAUUGCCAGAAAGCGAUCUUGGCAAGGGGUAGAUUCAUAUUGAAGCUAUUUCCGUUGCUUCUCCUUUGUUUUCCUUUUUGUUUUGGCACUUUUCAUGAUUUGUAUGUAUUACGUUUUUCCGAAUUGUUGAAAUGUAAAAGUUCAAGCAGCAUGGCAUAUUAAUAUCUCCAUUAUGACAUGAUACAUAAGCUCUGUAAUGUAUGAUUCCACUAAUAUUAAUCGUAAUCAAUUUAUGUUCGUUUAUCUUUCUAAGUUUUGAUUAAUUUCAUAAAACCUAGGAAUGAAGAGCUAGAAAAUGUUGCAAAUGGGAAGUUGUCGAAAAAAAAAAUCCAAAACAAUUUUCAGGUUCUUUUCUGUUUGGGUAUAUCAAUUGUUAGAAAGUUUGCAGUCAAAUGACACAAUAAUCAAAAGUAGUUUAAGCAUGUUCCACUUUCUUCCUGUUAGGUUGGAAUUCUACACCUACUAUUCUCAUACUAUAGCAUAUUGGACUGCUAGUCUAGAGACUUUACUCGAUUUAGCGUGUCAUGCCGCUUAUUUUACCCAAUCUGUGUUUCAACUUCCAAAUCUACAUGAAGCAAAUAUGCCUUCAAGCACUUUUGAUUGCAAGAAAAGUGUGUUCAUAUCUAAGAAUGACUUACUUGACACAGUAUUUCUUUCGAGUUUAUAUAAAUUUGUUAACUCUUUUUGUCCCGAGAAAGUUCCAAGUGUAAAGGGGGAUAAAUAAUUUACAUCGAUAAUCAAUGUGUUCAUGUGAGUUCUUGAUAGACUGUUGGUAACUCACGAAACAUCAAGUGAAAUAGAGAAGGACAAAAAAUCUACACAACCCUCAAACUAUUAAAUUGAUCGAUUUUUAGCCUUUCAACUAUUAAGUAUAUAUUUUUGCUUCUCGAGCUUAUAAAAGGGUAUGUUCUCCACCCUUUAAACUAGAGAUAUAUUUAGAAACCUCCCAUGAGGUAUAUGUUAAUAUCACUUGGCAUCUUUGAAGUUUCAAAAAUAUCAUUUAACUCCUACGUCAGUGAGAUGUGACCAUUGAUCACUAUCAUAGCAUACGAAUUGAAAAAAUUAUCUUCACUAAUUUAACAAUUUUUGGGCAAAACAUUAUGGAAGAGAAAAUUUUUAGGCAAAACAUAAAUCUUGUGUUAUAAUCAAAUUGGUAGAAAAUUUAAUAUAAGACAACAUAAAAGAGUAAAACUGGGAGAAAAGUGAUUAUUACAAGAAUAUUUUAAUGAUAUAAGAGUGAGAUUGUUAUGAAAUAUACGAUUUUAGGGGUGGUUAGUGAUAUUUUUAAGUUUUAGGAGUGCCAAGUGAUAUUAUUAAUACACACCUCAUAGUAGGUUUUUAAAUCAUCUUUAGUCAAAAGGACGGAGAACAUACCCUUUUAGAAGUUUGAGGGGCAAAAAUAUGCAUUUAAUAAUUGGAGGGUUAAAAAUCAACCAAUAUAAAGAACUAUAAUAGUUUGAGAACCAUUCAGAUUUUUUGUGCAGUAAAGAACUAUGGGUAUCAACUCUUCAUUGAUUAAAACUAGGAAUAAAGGUGACAAGGGCCGAACGGUUACCGGAAAACCAUUCAAGGCGAUUUUGUGUAAAAUAUACGUGACAAUGUAUAACUGUAAAAUAAAAUUUUGUAAACCCUACACAUAAUGUGAAAAAUGAGGUAUAAGAUAAAAUUUGAAUCUUACAUUUUUUUUAGCCAAAUCUUGAUCAUGAAUUUUCGGGAUCUGCAACUGUUCCUGCCUCUCUUCCGGGAUAAAGGUAUACAAGUGUGUUAUUUUCUUUUUGGUUGUUGGUAUAGUUGCCUGUACCCCCACCCCAUUUAGUGAAGUUAGAUGUACUUCCUUCCUCAUUUCCUCUUAGGUUUGUUGGAGCUAAUACUUAGAUUAUAGGUGUAACGAUCUAAUUAAAAUGCUAACAAAAUGGGUUUUCAAUUUGACUUUAUUGGGUUUACUAGUGGUGACGUUUGAUGUAGAUCUCAACAAUGAGGGGGGAAAAAUGCAUUGAACAUAUGUUUGAUUAUAUAGAUCAACUUUAGCUACUGUUAAAAAAAAAUAAUGCAUUGCCCAAAACUUGUUACUUGAAAUCGUUUUAGGCUGUGUUCUAUAAUGGAAGUGAGUAAAAAAGAAAAAAAAAUCUGUUUAUUUGUUUAUAAAAUUUUGAUCCAACAAAGAGGAGAAUGUUUCUCAUCUGCCUUGUUAAUUAGUUUUGGAACAAAUUUACUAGACCUCAAAUUUCACUUACAAAACCAAAAGAAUCACAAUUAGUCCCAAAAUGUAAACUUGUAUCACAAAUCCAUAUAGUAAAUGCUUGGCUUAAAAUUUGUGAAAAACAUUAGGAUGCAAUAUAUUGACAGGGAUAUUAACUUGGUAAUUGUGAGGUCUCGAAUUCGACUUUCAAAUUCUUCUUUUUCUCCUUUUUCCCUUGUAAGAUUUGAAAUCUCGCUAUGAACUCAAAAGCAACAACAAAUUCAAACUUAUUGAGAAUUAUUCAAAUUUCCAUUUUAAGUACAGUAGCUGAUUAGUAGAGUUGUUAAUCGAAUAGGGUAGCUCGCGAGCCAAGCUCGACUCGGCUCGAUAAGAGCUCGACUUAGCUCGUUUAUUGAGAGAAACGAGUCGAGCUCGAGUUCAACUGGAUACUCAUUUAAUAGACGAGCCGAGCUAUGCUCGACUCGUUUAAAACUCGACAGGCUCGAAUAGUAGGGGUAUUAGCAUCAUUUCAUUGUGGAUUUGAUAUUCUAACCUAAUUCAUUCUCCCGUUUCAAGCUCAAUAAGCUCGGCUUGUGGUUUUCACUCAAGUUCGAGCUCGAGUUUUGAGCUUGAUAAGCUUGACUCGAUAGAAAACUCGAGUUCAAACUCGAGCUCGAAUUUUCUACCGAAUACACCAAGUCCAUCUCGAACAACUUAUGAAGCUCGAAUUACUAAUCGAGCGAACUCGAGCUAGCUCGAUUAUCAUGUGCUCGAGAUCGACUCGGCUCGUUAAUAGCUCUACUGAUUAGGCCUCGGCUUACGGAUUCAAAGUUAAGGCUCUAGAAAUUAGGGGUUGGAUUUAUUUUGAAUACUUUGUCCAAGAUUAAAAGACAAAUAAAGAAUGAAAGAGAAAUUGUCCUUAACAUUGAACAGCUGGAUUAGCCCAAGCGGCUGCGGGAUAGUUUUGGGCUUUAUGUGGAUCGUAGGCAGGGUAGAAGUCCAUACUAUGAUCAAGCCCAAGAGCGCCAGAACUGUUGCUAGACGACGUCGUUCAUGCUGGCCAAAGGUUCAUGUAAAACCAUGAAGCUUGAAAUUUCUCAUAUUAAAAUUUCAUAAAUCAACGCAGGUUUGUGAAAAGCGCGGGAAACUCAAGCCCCAGGCCACCGCCGGCGACUGUGAAGCCCCGGAAACCUAGUUUAAUGGACGAUCACGAUCUUGAGCUCGAAAAAGUGAAAUUAAUCAGCUUAGCUGUCGAAUUCGGAUUCGAUGAAUACUCCGCUAAGAAAUGCUUAGAUCGCCUCAUUGAACUCUACGGUAACCCCAAUUCUUCCUUUGCAUUGUCCAAUCAUUUGAUUUUCAUACUGUUAUAGAGUAUUGUUUCAUUCUAACUUUGUUAAUUUUUGAAGGCGAGGAGGGCAGAGAUUUCAUCCGUGUGGAGUAUUGCGGCGAUGAUUUUUUGGCGGCAUUGGCGGAAUCCAUGCGAGACACGGAGGACUGGGAAAAUGAUGAUUUUAAAGCAAUGGAGUCUGAGGCUUGUGGAGCUUUGGCCGAAAUGCUGGACAAGGAUAUUAAAAUUCGGGUCGAAAGAAAUGAGGAAAGAAAGGAUAAUGGGGGUGUUAUCUCUGAAAAUUCUGUUCAGGUUAUUCUAGAUUCUUCUUCAGGUGAUAGUGAGAAAGAUGACGACGAUGAUGAUUUUGUAAUUCCUAGAAAAAAUGGUGGUAACAGCAUUACAAUUCAGAGUCAGGGCCUUGAUAGACGUUCGAGUAAAAGAACUUCGAUGUCUCAGGUAUUAGAUGCUUUUUUGAGUCAGUUUACCUUUUUCCAAUUUAAUUGUGUAAAGUUGGUAAUUAUAUUUGAUACCAUAGCUUGUUGGGGGCGCGGGUGAGGCAGGGGCAGAAGGUGGAGGUUUAUUAAGGCAGUUUUGAGAGAAGUUUUAUUGGAGUGAGUGAUACGCACCUUUUGCAGUAGUUUAUGCUGAGUCAAUGGACAAGUUAUAAUUUUACGCUCUGGAAUUAUGUUAAUUAUCUUUUGUUGUAGUCCACUAGGAAUUUGGAAAAUAACGGGCAUUGUGUGGAGGUCCCUUUUCCACAUUUCAAGUGAGUUAAAGUGGGAUUUUUGAGAUUAAGGUUUUGGAAUUUGCACGAUUGAAACCAAAAAAUAUAUAUACUAGGAGAUUUUCAGUUCUAAUUUAUAUGAAGCAAACUUGAAUAUUUUUUUUUUACCAAUUUUUUUAAUUCAGGUAACAGAAAAAGAGAAUCAUUUGAAUGUGCUUCUGUGUAGUAUUUUAAGUAAAUAAAGCUCAUCUACUCUGUGCCUUUGAGUUGUAUUAACAAGCCUUCCGGAUUUUAAAUGUGCUGACAGACAUUUUCCUUGAAGGAGUGCAUAAGCAGUGUUACACCUAGUUCAGUUUCAUCCUCAGGGAGAUUUUCAGACAAGACAAAUAACGAACCCAGGACCUUGACAUAUGAGGAGUUGCUGCAUCUGGAUGACAUUGAAUUGGCUAACGUAGUUGUAUUUGGAAACCGUAGCUUUCGGCCUUUACAGUAUAAGGCUUGUAAAGCAUUUCGGGAACAGAAUGACUGCUUUAUCCUCAUGCCAACAGGAGGUGGUAAAAGCCUUUGUUACCAGGUCAGGUUCUUGCUUUCUUAAUGGGCUUUCAUCUUGCAAUUUUACCCGAAUUAACAGACAAAAGUUUUUAUAGAAAUGGUUGUCUCAAAUUUAUGAUUUGUAACUUGUUGGCCAGUUUAAGUUUUUUCCGAAUUCUGCAUUGAACUUACAGCACUCUAAUUUGCUUUAUUUGGUCAAGAAAUUUAUUAUUUUAGUUCCCUACAAUCGUUAAGCAAGUGAUCUCUGCAGGCACAGAAAACUGCCAUAGGCAUUAGUGUUUUUAUUCUUCUUUACUGCAAAAAAGGUCAAGCAGUCGAACUAUCUUCUUGUUUAUUUGGUUUUGGUAUGUAUAUGAAGCAUGAGGAUAUGUCUUGCCUUAAGUUGGAAGAAUAAUUUUGUGUCCUUUUUCUCCAAGUUAUAUUUUUCUAUUUUUGUUCUGUUGUAUAUUUGAAUUGGCAGCUGAAAGAGGGUUUCUUGUAGUUGAUUUAUUGGCUACAAAGACUGCCUUCUCUAAUUGACUUUCCUCUGACACUGGGGUAGUUAAUUAAGGUUGCUCUUUAGGCUUGCAGUCAAACAUCGAUUUGUUCCAACUUAAUGUGAGAGUUGAAUGAAUAUGGUACAUAACUAAAUUAUAUGUGUGAAUGUGUAAAGGAAGAAUGGUCUUUUUUCAUUUAGGUAUUAAACAUUGCUGUGUCAACAGUCGCUGUUCUUAUAAUGUUAUUGCACUGCAGCUUCCAGCCAUUUUACAACCAGGGGUUACAAUUGUUAUAUCCCCACUGCUUUCCCUCAUUCAGGACCAAAUUUUCACCCUGAACCUCAAGUUUGCCAUACCAUCUACUUUUCUAAAUUCUCAACAGACUCCUUCACAAUCUGCAGCAGUAUUUGAAGAAUUAAGGCAAGGAUCACUUUCUUUCCCCUUGCUAUAAUGUAUGUGUUUCUUUUUCCUUUGAUUUUUUUCAUCUAUAGUGAAUAAGACUCACAAUUUCAAGAAGUCAAACAUCAUUUGUUUCUUUUCUUUAGGAACUUGCAUCCAAAAUUUCCAUUAUCUUAACAGACCCUUUCUUCAUAAAAAAUUUUCGAGUGUUGAUUUUUCUCUAUUAAUUGCUUCAAUAGCUAAUUGACAACUUGUGCAGCGAUUGUCUACGUAAUGGUUCUUUGUGUUUGAGUAUGACAGUUAUCAUUCAUUUUAAUGUUUCCAGGAGAGUUAGACCAUCAUGUAAGCUACUUUAUGUAACUCCUGAAAGAAUUGCAGGAAAUUUACCAUUUCAAGACAUCCUAAAAUGUCUGUACAGGAAGGUAAGCUCUAAGUCCAUUGUUUAGCUUGUCAGAUCUGUGAUUUAAUGUCAUGUGCUUUUGGAUCAGUUAUUCUGAUUUAAGAUACUUUUGUAAUUUGGCAGGGGCAAUUGGCUGGAUUUGUUGUUGAUGAAGCACAUUGUGUAAGGUCUGUGUGUGGGAAUUCUUCAGAAAAUCAGAGUAGAGGAAGUGUCUUAAUCAUGAAUGCCAAAAUUGGAAACCAAUAAAGAAAUGAAACUCAUGUCUGACGUUUCUAAUUAUCAAUUGCAGUGUAUUACCGAAUGGGAUAGAUGUAUUUCUUAAAUCAAACCAAAUGGCUGGAAAUUCUUAUGUUGCAUCCCUUAAAAGUUGUAUCCAAUGAACCAAUUGAAUUUAGUAUACUAUUUCAGGAGAUAUUUACUAUCGUUUUAGGGAACAUAGAAGAAGGAAAUUGCGUGAAAACUUGAGAGCAUGAAAAUAUAAGUGAAAUUUGGGACAAUAUCUGGCUUGUUCUGAUGAGGUGAAAUGACCAUCUAGUAAUCUGGUUUACUCCACAUUUCAGCCAAUGGGGACACGACUUUCGUCCAGAUUAUAGAGUUUUGGGAUGCCUCAAGAGGAACUUCCCCAGUGUUCCUUUAAUGGCAUUAACAGCCACAGCAACCGAAAAAGUUCGUGAGGUAAAUUUGUGACUUCAUCCCAACAUUGUUGUUUGUCUUGUUUGCUGUUUGUCUUAGGCUCAUUUUUCUCUGUAGGACAUCUUAAAUGCCCUUGCAAUUCCUCGUGCACUCAUUCUGGAGAUGAGCUUUGACAGGCCCAACUUAAAGUAUGAAGUACUUGAGAAGAGCAAAGAACCACUCAAGCAGCUUGGAAGAUUACUGUUGGACCGUUUCAAGAAUUUAUGUGGCAUUGUGUACUGUCUUUCAAAAAGUGAAUGUGCAGAGGUCUCAAAAUAUCUUAAUGAAAAAUGUAACGUCAAAACAGAGUAUUACCAUGCUGGAUUGGCAGCUCGUCAGAGGAUAGCAGUUCAAAAGAAAUGGCAUGCUGGAGAAGUCCAUGUUGUAUGUGCCACGAUAGCUUUUGGGAUGGGAAUAGACAAGCCAGAUGUUGUGAGUCCUGCAUACUGUUCUUUAUCUUCUUUGGCUUUUCAUUAUGUGCUAGCAAAUUCAAUGGUUGUUUUUAUUUCAUCAAUGGUUACUGUGGAAUAAGUAAAUCCGUCAUGAAACAGUUAAUUCAAUUGGUUAACACCUGACAUGAUAAAUCUGUGAUAAAAAUUUUAUUUAUCCGUGCAAAGCUUUUGUCUGAUAUGUUGUUGGUCAAAAUAUUUGUCAUAAAUUAUUUGAUGAAGACAUGUUUUGUUUGCAAAGUUUAUCCAGUGUUAAUUUUUUACGUUUGCUUACUUCUCAUACAGAUGCUUUUUGUAUGUCCAGAGGUUCGUUGUUCACAAUACAAUGUCAAAAUCAAUUGAAAGCUAUUAUCAAGAAUCUGGAAGAGCAGGCAGAGAUAACUUUCCUGCUACAUGCAUUGCUCUAUACCAGAAGAAGGAUUUCAGUCGUGUGGUCUGUAUGUUAAGAAAUGGGCAAGGGCGCAAAAUUGAGAGCUUCAAAUUGGCUAUGGAUCAAGCUCGGAAAAUGCAACACUAUUGUGAACUUAAGGUAAGUAAUUUAAAUUACUAUAUCCCUCAGACCUGCUGCUAAGAAAGUUUCAGCCUUUCUGCUGCAGAAACACACACUCUUAGACAAAGUGCUAGUUCAAUUUUUUAAAAUCCAUUGUCUGAUCUUUUGCAGACUGAAUGUCGUAGACAAUACUUAUUAGCUCAUUUUGGAGAGUCCUUUGACCCAAACGGCUGUAAAAAUGGUUCUAGUCCCUGUGACAACUGCUUGAGGGCUUCCUCAUAGAGUAAUUCUAAUCGUGAGUGAAAGCUAUGAUAGGGAAAUCAUCUUUGGGUGCUUACAUCUAUCUACUCGUCCAAAGAACAAGCAAGCAGAAACGAAAUGGAUUGACAUGUGCCCAAGUCAAUAAUUACAUUAUUAUUGUUCAACACAUAUCCGGGGCACUGGACAGAUGUUCUCACGCUUGUUUUCAAGGUAAAUACUUGGUUUCAACGCCUUUUGCCCAAUUCGUUUAAAGUUGUAAACCUGUAUUCCAAAAUGCUAUCAAUGUGACAAAGAAUAGAGCUGGAAUGUGGAAUGUUACUAGCAGUCCGGAAACUUUACAAUUGUAACCUCCUCUUUUUCUUUUUUGGUGUAGAGCAGGAGGGGGGGUGGGAUUCAAGAAGUGGGGAGGAAGUUAGGAGACUAGAAUUCAAAACUUUUAAUUUUGGAGCUUCAACCUCAACUAUUAAGUCAAAGUCUGCUCGAGAGAAUUGUAACUUGGUAUUUGGUGGAGAGGUAGGUAUUGAAUGAUAUUUUCUUAAUGUCAUAUUAUGAUUUGGAAAGAGAGAGAUGGAGAGAGAGUUUUUCCUCUGAUCCUUUUCCUUCUGAAGAGAGAGGAAGGCCUCCUGUAAUGUUAAUUUCAAGGAGACAGAAGUGCAUGAAGAGCUGGACUAUGGUCAAUAAUCGCUGCUUGCAUCCCAUCGCAUUUAUAUUCUUCUUCUGAAGAAAUGACACGCCAUUUCAGAAUCUUGAUGGACGCCUGACUUUAGAUCCAUCCAUCCAUCCAUCCAUCCAAUACACGAGGCCACAUGCACACGUUCAUUGACCUGCUCACUGUUAUACUACUAUUGUCUAAUGCCCCCAUCUGUGAUAAUCGUUGGUUGAAAUUAACUAAUGAUUUGUGCCCUAAUAAUGAUUCAGGACCACAACAAAAAAUUAUGAAUUUGCGCACCCAUAAAAUAUGUAAUCUUUGCUACGAUCUUGUGUUGUAACUUAUACAACAGUUUCUUGAAAAAAUUCUUUUACUUUUUGUUAUUACGACGUAUAGGGUAUUCAUCAAAUCACUCCAAAGAAGUCCCAUUUGUCGUUGCCGACCAAAGGUGAAGGGGAAAAAAAAAAAGAAGAAAGAUUCAUUGAACCCACUCGUCUCUGGCCGGCUCUCAAUAAUCGCAGUCGACGCCGAGUAUGGAAAGCUCUUCUUCAGAUAAGUUCUUACAGUGUCAGUGUGGCCUACAGCUUUGACUUUGGAGCCUGCUCCGCCUUUGUUUUUUCUGUUCUUAAUUAGUGGAGUAUUAUUUUUAGAAGCCACGAUUUUAUGCAGCCUCCAGCAAAAUGGAAAAGAUCUACUACUACCGAAAUUUCAGGUCAUAUUUAGGGGUGGCAAUAGGGCGGGGAUCCUUCUCCACUCCCGCCCCGUUGUCAAAUAAUUCCCCCCGUCCCCUGCCCCGAUUUCUCCCGUGGAGAAAAAAAUCAACUUAUCAUAAAUGUUGACUAUAAUAAUUCAAUUGUAAACAAUGUUAAAUAAGAUUAAAAAGCUGUCAAGAUGAAAAUAAAAUAUAACAAAUCAAGUUACAUUCAGUGCGGAGGAAGGGAACCGAUCGAAAUAAAAAAGGGUUAGGGGCAAAACAGGUUGGAAUUGGAUAGCUUUGUCUUGAGGGGGGUGUUAGAAACAAAUCAACAAUAGUCCAAGAAAUUUCUUCAAUUAUACACCCGCUCCAUUUCAUGCGCCUCAUUGGCAUCCUUAGUCAUAUUCAUUAGAUUAUAAAAGUUUCAAUUUGAUUAUUAAUCUUUAUCCUUGAAGACAUUAAAAACUUUGCCCCCAAAAAAUUUUUACAAAAUUGUAACGAUGUCCUUUUAAGUAUAUUUCUUUAUGGGUCUUGCCUAAAUUGUUUUAUACCAAACUCUCAGUCAAUUUUUUUAAAAUGUAUUUACCAAACACGGUAUUUGUUGCAUUUUGAAAUGUACGGACAUAUGUAACAAAUUCUUUUUUUUUUAAAUUUAUAAGUGAAGAUCUUGAAUUCAGGACCUACUUACUUAUAUUCCUUCCACCUUACUAUCCAAUUCAACUCACCUCUGAUUCAAUUAUUUAAUAAAUUCAGUUAUUUGUUAUUCGUUAAAACUUAUCGCCAAAAACAAUAUAAACAGGAUAACUAACCAAGCGAGUCCCCUAUCAAUAGUCUUACAACUAUCUAUGUAAGACUUGCAUAUAAUAUGUUGUUUAAUUUUAGAAUUCGAACUCAAGGGUAGGCCUUCAAAAUUAUCAAGUGAGUCCCAAAUAAUAUCGAUAUAAUUUGAACACAAUAAAAGACCAAAUGUGAGGCUUUAAGCUUUCAUGCAUUAGAAGCCUAACAGCUUAAAAAAUUAAUGAAACUGUGAAAAACUUUUGCUACUCACCAAGAAAACAUAAGCACUCGUUAACAGCAUAUUGGAUUAGUAUUUUUUUUUUCCCUGUCCAUUUGAACGUCUAAAUCUCCAAAUAAACUUGAAUUAAAUAUUAUUUACAAUAAUUAUUAUAACAUUUUUUAAGACAUAAAAAUAAUUACAAAUAUAAAAAAAAUAAUUAAAAAAUAUAUUUAUGAUGUAUUAGUACAUCAUUCACUUUCGAUUUAGAACAUGCCAAGUCAAAAUUCACGAUUUAGUUCAAGAAAGGACUGCGACGGCAGUCCGUGGACUAGACUAAACCGUCACACGCCAAAGGAAAUCUUGGACCUACUCCCCAAUUGUCUAUACCCCAUAGAUACAGAAAUUAAUAUAUGCGUCCUUUCACUAAUUUGUUUUUAUUCAAUGGUACAGGGAACAACUUUUUCAAAACCCCCCUCCCCCCUUCCCCGCCGGGGGGCCCAAAAAAAAAAAAAGAACAGGGAACAAUAGUGAUAGAGAGCGACUGCAUCUAAAGAGAAAGGGAUAACAAAAAUAUUAUGAUUGAGAGCGACUUCGGAGCAACCAUAUAUUAGACACCAGAUACGAAUUUGACAAGUUUGAGAAAAUGACAUAGUCCUAACUAUAUUUUGGGUGUUUUUCAAAAAUUUAUCUAAAUCAUUAUUGUGUUUGUAAAACUUUUACUAGAGAUGUGUAGAUGUAUUAGGGUGUUUUCAGGGAUAUUUUUGGGGGAUUUUUUUGGGAUGUCUUUUAAGGAAUUUUUGGAAUUUAAAAUUUCUUUGAAUAUUUUUUAAAAAUUUACACCAUUCCAUAUCGUCACCGACAUCUGCCAUUCCCUUCCUCUUCUUUCCUCUUCUCUCGUUUCUCUCCCUCUUUCUUCCCCUCAUUCUUUCUCCCUCUCCCUCCUCGUUCUUUUUUCUCCCUCUUCCUCCAUUCCCCUUCUUCAGGCACCCUCCCCCCUCUCCCUCCAUGAUCGAUCACAACCAGAGAGGAAGGAAGAAGGGGGAGAAGGAAGGAGGGGAAGAAAGAGGAGAGAGAAAGGAGGGAAUGGUGAUGAUGGGUGGUGGUGGGAUUGGUAUUGUGUGGUGGAAGAAGAUGUAGUAGAAUUUUUUUUUUUAUGUAUUUGUCAGUUAUUUUUGUAUAAAUUGAUGUUUUUGAAGUUAUUUUUUUUGUAUAUUACUAUAAUUUUAUAUUUGAAAAACUAGUUUUGAAAAAUAACCAAAUCCAAACAAAGCCAAUUCACCAGAGAAUAAAUAAUGCAUCCCUCUUCUGAAGAUGGAAAAAUUGUCUUGCUCAUUUACUACAGGUAAUCAGUAUGAUAGAUACCUAUUUAAUUGAAGUGCAAGGAAAAAAAAAAACACUAUUUUCAUCCCCAAAAUUCAUGAGAAAUUUUUUUUUCGUUAUAAGAAAUGCAUGCUCUAACAAAAUUAUAUGUUUACCUCUAAUACUAUGCCAUAGUUAAAUUAGCAUAAAUGACUCCCUUAGUGAUAUAAUAAGAACAAGCAAUUGAAGAAGCUCAAGGAAUUAUGUUGGGAAGACCUAAUCAGAGCCCGUUGGAUUUGUGUCGUCGGGACCGGAAAAUGACGCACUCAUGAUUCGUGAUCCUCCUGCAGCUAAAAACGUUGGAAAAUUUGUGCCUGAACCGCCUUUAAAGGUCUGAUUCCUUGUAGCCUAUGAGAGGACCCCUGAGUGAUGUAACAUGCAAUUUGUCUUGGUUCCAUGAAAAUGAGAUAGGACGUGCGUGGUCAAAAUAUAUCAACUAUGGUUUGUCUGUGCAGAUCAUAUCUUACAUAUAAUUACCUAUUUAUUUCCUGGCAAGUCUCUAUCUAUCUCACUAUGCAGAAUUUUUUUUUUUUUUUUUUAAAAAAAACCUCCCCUAGAAAAAGGUUUUUCUGACAAUUUGAGCCACCUUCCUUGAGGUUUCGAUGAUUACAGAAAUCUCCCUUACUAAAAAAUAUAACUAGGUAACAACUAAUGAUGCAAGUAUAACAAAUCUAGUGAAUACCCCAUAUUGGCCCCAUCUCAUCUAUUAAAGAAAUUAAAUAGUUAAUAUUUAUAGGAAGAAAAGUAUCCCUAUAUAAGGGAGAAAUACUGAUGGGAUUUGAUGGUUGGAUAAUUGUGAAUCAAAUUCAAUUGUGGAGAUUUUAGAUUUAAUAGGCUGGUUGGUUAGAUGGAGAUCACUAGAUGAGGUGAGUUAAAGUGCUUAUAUAUAUAUAUAUAUAUAUAUAUAUAUAUAUAUAUAUAUAUAUAUAUAUAUAUAUAUAUAUAUUGCUUAGCAGAUUUUUCUCAUUUUUAUUUUUAUUUGUAAAGCUCUUUGAUUGGAGUUGAAGAUUUUAUGAAAACUAAUAUAGUCUUUUUGUAAUAUCAAAGUUAGUCUAAUUUUCAAAUCUUAGUGGAGAUGAUUGAAAUGGUCAAAAACCUGAACAGAGAUUUUGGAUAUUAUCCCCGUAUACUAAAAACCUCGAACUGCUUCUUUAUGUAUAUUCCGAACUAAUGAGCAUUAAUAUUCCAAUGCACUAGUGUUAACUUAUCACACAAAAAAAAAAAAAAAAAGAGAGAAAAAGUGUGGCAAGGUUAAGUAGGCGUUAGGCAACUUUAAACACAUUGGAAAAUUACUAAACAGGGUUAAGUGGUGAACCACACUGAGCACUUCCCAUCAUAGGGUUAAACAAAAAAAAAAGGAAUUUUCCAUCAUCUCCAUUUCUAAAGUACCAGUAUAUACACUAUCAUCAUUAGAUGCAUGAUAGGACUGUUAAUGGGACUGGACUAGCCCGAGCUCGGCUCGUUCAGCUUGAAAAAAAGCCCGAUGAGCUCGACUUUUUAGUGAGUCGGUCUGAGUUUGAAUCUAAACAUUAGGUUCGAAUUAAAUAUGAGUCGAACUUGGAACUUAUUAGGUUCAAACCCGAUAUAAGUUCGGCCCUUAAAUUACCUAUAUAUAAAUUGAUAUAUAUAAUAUAUAUUUUGAUAUUAUAUAUCCAAAUAUAUUAUUAUUAAAUACUAAAUAUAUACAAAUUACAAAACACAAAAAUACAUUUAAAAACUCUUAUACUAACUUUCUUGGGAGACAAUAUUGGUCAUGCAUAACUGAAACUUUAACUUAUCUUAUUGGUUGAGUAAAUUUUUGUGUUGACAUAAUAUUGGUUGAUUUCUUUUUAGUCUAGAAACACGAAUCAUCAAACAUGUUUGGAUUCAAGUCACAAAGCUAUGAAGAAGUUCAAAUCUUGGAUGUUGUAUUGGUUUAUGACCGCAUGUUUUAUUAUUAUUUUUUAUGUAUUUUGAACUAAUUAGACAUAAAUAUUGUUGAAAAAUUCUUGGUUUAUAUACUUUUUAAGACCUAUUAUUUGUUCAUAUUUAGUUUUAAUGUUGUAGUCUUGUGAAUGUUGAAUUAGUUUUACAAUUCAAAAGUUAUAAUAAUUAUAUUAAGAAAAUUAAGGAGCAGGUUAAACUCAAAUAAGGCUCAAAACCCGAAUAUUUUAUGAGUUGAGUAUGAUCAUCACAUUUAUUAACUCGAAACUCACGGCCUGAAUCCCAAAAGUGUUACAAAUUAAAUGAGUUGAAUCUGAACUUAUGAAAGAUCGACUCUUAUGGCCCAAUUGACGGGUCUAAUGCAUGAUAACUCAUUUGAAUUUAAAUUAGAAUUGCAAAUUUUGUUCAUGUAUCAUUGAUAAUAAAUACACUUGUAGUGUAUACUUGUUUGGAUUGUGAUUUUUUGCAGAAAAAUUUUUACACUCUCUGUGAAUACCUUUUUCAAUCAUUUUUUUACUUCACAUACAUUAAAUCAAUACAAUACUUCUUCUUCUUCUUUUUUUUACAUGCAAAACUCCUAAAAAUAGCAAUCCAAACGGUUUGAGAAUACUGAGAUCUCGAGGGAAGGGUUAGUUUGGCCAAUAGAUAGCCAAAGGCGCCAAGUGAUUAAAAUGGCCUUGGGUUAUUAGUUGAAAGGCUAUUUGCCAUUUUAGACUUUUAGGCGAAAAAAAAAAACUCUGAUAUUGUACUAUUAUAUUGCACGUACGAGUAAUCUGCCGUGACAUGCAAUUUAAAAUACGAGUAACAAAAAGGAACUUUUGUUGUAUAAAAUGUUAAAAGGGGUUCUUCAUGCUAAAUACAAAAGUGUUUAAAAAUAUAUAGUUUAUGCAUUGAUGAAUUUCUGCAUUCAAAAUAUGGUACAGUGGGAUGGUUUCUAAACAUGUAAGUUUUAGCUAUCCCUAUUUUUUUGUUAAAGCAGUAGUAAUAUGGCAACCAAAAGCUUAAACAGUUGAGCUCUAUAUCCAGACUUCACAGGUUUUUCUUUUAUUUUUAGUUAUUUCUUUCGUAUGACAAAUUAUAUAUUUUUUAUUUUAUCUUUUUUUUUUUUUGUAUUUAACAUGCCAUGCACGUUGUUUCUUUCCUAGAAUGGAAGGAUGAUAAUUUAACAUCAAUAUGUAUUUUCGCACCAAAAAUGGUUAAAUGAUCUUAUUACCUGCCUAUGGCAAAGUGAUGAUAAAUUUUAUUUAAAGCGUCAAAUUGUGGCAAGUUUCAUAACAUAGAAGCCAAAGUGUAAUUAACCCUAAAAGAUAAACGCACUAGUACAUGAUAGAUGGAUUUUAUUUUUAACCUUCUCUCGUUCCAACUCACAUCCUUUAUAUUCCCAAUUCUCAAGUUUCCGAUAUAAAAUUUGAAUCCUGAAUGCGACAGUGAGAAUGAUUCUAAAGGCUGACCUAGUGAUUGAUGGAUGGAUAUUUGAAAAUUCUAUGAUGAUAUACAUUUGUCCUCCUUUUUUUUUUUUUUUUUUUUUAAGUUUUGAAUCUUGUUGCCCUCAAAAAACUAGAAUUGCAACUCCCCAUACAAAAACUUUUUAGGUUCUGUCACCAUGUCUGCUUACAAGCAAAGGAAAUUAGUAUUAAAAAGGGAGGGAUUUUAAUUGAAUAGUAUUCAAUUAAGGAAGGGAGUAGAUAGUAGUUACGUUGCUAAGUUGGUUGUGCCUUUUAUUAAAGUGCUUAUUUUUCUGGUUCAUGGCGCAAGCGUACGUCAAGGACGAAGCAGAAUAAAUGCUGCCAUACAAACAGACCUGAUCUAAUCUGUCAUUCUUAAGUUGACCCCCCAAAGAGUCAUUCUUCCCUUCUCCAGCAAUUGUCAUCUUCUUGAUUUUUACUUUUUUGGGAUACCUUUCCUCUGAGCAGAAUGUUGCGAUACAUCUCCAACAUUGGGCAGAAUGAAGUUUUUGUCUAGAUACCUUUUGAAAUGAAGAAAAUCAUAUUUCGGUCAGUUCAGCAAAACUGCAUAGUUAGUAUGUAAUACCACCGUUUCAUUGUGAACAAUUCAACUCGCAUUCAUGUGGUAAAACUUGUUGCACUAUUCCAAAUUUCUACUCAACUUAUUAUUAACUUGAGAUUUUUUUCAUUAAAUAAGUGGUUUUUUCUUAAGUGAAAGUUAAUAAUAGUAGGUGAUUUCAAGUGAAAGUUAAUAAUAGUUCGAGUACCUGGCUCACCUUCUCCAAUAUCCUUCAUACAUAUUGCUUAAGUUACUCUUCUUUUUUUUUUUUUAGAAACGAUAGAUGUUUUUAUUGAUAAAAACUUACAGUAUUUGAACAAUGACUUAGAGAACUAUAUACAACGUGUACCUCGACACUUAAAAGAGUAAUAAAAGUUCUCUACUCAUCUCUGAAAUGGCCUAAUUACUCGAGAGACAGCAAAUCAAGAAUGUGGGUUUUGCAAAGUUACUUGUGCCAGAGUUUAGCAGGAAACUGGGAAUGGUUGGGGGAAGAGAGGGCCAGCCUUGGACUAAGGGAAACUGCCUCGUUUAAUAUGUAAACAGUAAUAAUAUAGGAUAUACUAGUAUAAGAUAUUGCUAAAAAAAAGUCUUGGUUUUCUGAUCUAGAUCUUUGAAUAUUUGUAAACCCUUGUUCAUUGUCAAAAAUCCCGGUAGAAUAAUAGGUUACUAAAAGUUGCAAAAGUGAUGUUUCUCAACAAAAAUUUACUGACUUGAUGAAUAUCAAAGUGAGACGCAAUUGAAUUUCAGAAGAGUUUGUACCAAUGGAAUUGAUUGUACUAGUAUUUCAGAAGAGGGGAGCAAAUGGCAGUCUUACCCUUAACUAAACUGAUAAAAAGGGAAAAAAAUUAAAGAAAAGUUAAUAAAAUCUUGAAGCUGGCAAAAUCUGAUUCUCCAGUGCCAAAGGAAUUUAGUAGUACUUAUUGCCGAUGAGCUUUAAUGCUUUGCCUAAUCAAUCGUAGGUUGGGAAUGGAACGUAAGUAAGUGUAGACUUCUCACUUACACUAUAAAAAAAAAGGGGUAAUUGAGGUUUGUUGCAUCAUUUCGAUACUAGAUGCUGUUAUACUUUUGUUGAAAUACACUCGAAAACUUUACUCCCUUUAUGAUGACUAUAUGAGCUAUUUUUAGUAGAUUUUUUGAAGUAUUAGUGUCCUAUUUUACGAGACAUUGUAGUUAUACUUAGUUUUUGAUUAUCUCUGAAGAUAGUGAUUUUUGUUUUUAUAUUUUUUUUGGACUUGAUGUUUGGAAUCUGUUCAUAUUACAUUGCUAGAUUGAUCUCAUACAAUUUGGUGAAGUUUUAUAGAAAAAUACAUAAUACAUACUAGUAACAAUUUAAAAUUAGCCAUUUUAAUGUGUAAUGGAACAAUUAAUUGGUUUUAGAAUGUAAGAAAAAAUCUAGUAAAGUUAAUUCAUAAGCAAGAAGAAGAAAUUAGGAAGGGGGUAAUAUGGUUUCAUCAAAAUAAAAAUGGGAUAAUGGGAGUGCAAAUAACAUUAUUAUCCUAAAAAAAUAUAUAUACAAAAAAAACAUUUUAAAAAAUCAAUAGUAAGUUAUAAAUUGACAAUAUUUAAAUCAUUGCCUUAUUAGUAGUCACAUUUAUUUUUACUCAAAGAAAACAAUUACUUAAAACUGGUCUUGGAUUCAAAUAUUCAUGCCUUUUUUCCACUUUUUAAAUUCCAUCAUUCCCCUAUUAGAAGAAGUAGAAAGAAAAAGCAAGUAAAAAAGCACAUAGAUAAUAUGAAUAUUUGUAUGUUGCCCUUCUUUAAAUUAUGUAGGUGACUAUAUAUUUGAUUUACCAAAUUUUAGUAAAUAUUAUAUCAAAUAUAUUUUUUUUUUAAAUGGGUCAAGGGCACCUAUGAGUACACCUCAUCAGCAUUUAAUUUACCAUGUGAAUAUACACUCACUUUUAAUACAUUUCUGUAUUUAAAUACUUAUCAAAGUUAAUUUCAGUUUUAUCAAAAGAAUUAACACGUGAGAGUCCAAGGCACCUACUAACCAAAUCCGGUAUCAAUAUGGGGUGUUACCUUUUGAGUCUUAAUACGCGUAUUUCAUUAGGUGUAACACAAAAAGUAUAACAUAGCAUGCAAACUUUCUUUAUAUAUAUAUAUAUACACACACACACACACUAUAUGUUAAUUGUCUAAAAUAAUUUUGCUUUUGCCUUGGCAUUUUUUUUUCUUUUGAAAAGGAUUAUCUCUGUUUGGAUUGGUCAUUUUUUAAAAAACAAAAUUUUUAUAUACAAUGCUACAAUAAUAUACAAACAAAAAUAACCUCACAAGCACCAAAAACAUCUCUUUGUUUGGAUUGCUGAGUUUUUCAAAAACUAGUUUUUCAAAUACUAUUAAAAUUUUUGAAAAGUACUCUUAAAGAUACUCUAAAAAGUAGUCUAAAUUUUUUUUAAUGUUUAAAAAAUAUCCCAAAAUAUAUUCUAAAAACUCUUCUACUCUUAAAUAUCCCAAAAUAUUUUCUAAAAAUAUCCCAAAAUAUACUAUAAAAACUCUGUUGUAGUAAAAUUUUUUAAAAAUACUCCCAAAAACAACUAAUUCAAAUGGACAUUUUAAAACCUAAAAAACACAAAAAACGACUUCAAAAACACCAAAAACAUAAAAAACAACCUCAAAGAACACAAAAAAUAGGCCAACAUCAUCUAUCUUAGGGGUGCUGUCACUACUCGAGCUCGACUCGAGGCAAAAUAACUAAGCUCGAGCUCGAGCUCGAGCUCGUCAAACUUUUAAAAUUCGAGCUCGACAUCAAUUUAUGGAACUCGAGCUCGAGUUUAAUUAAAUGUAAUUAAUUCAAAUCAAGCUAAAUCGAGCUUAUUCGAGCUCAAUCAAGCUCAAGUAAUAAAAAUUAAUAUUUUAUAUAUAAUUUUAAAUAAAGGAUAUUAUUGACAUUUCACAAUAAAAAAAUUUAAAAUAUAUAUUAUAAAAAACUCGAUAGAGCUCGUCGAGCUCUCGAGUAUUAUAUUUUCAAGCUCAAACUCGACUCGAUAGCUCUAACGAGCAGCUCGAGCUCGAGCUCGAGCUUGGUCAACCGAGCUCGAGCUGGAGCUGCUGACCAAGUAGCUCGCGAGCUCGAGCCGAGCUACUUGGUUCAGCUCCAGCCCUAAUCUAUCUAUAGUAAAAGUUUGUCACUUACAUUGCUAUAAUAAAAUAUUUCAGAAAACAACCCAUCCAAAUAGAGCCGCUUCAUUGAGUGAUAACAAUUAUUGAUUAUUUGACAGACAACACCAUGCUUCAUUGAGUGAUAUAUAAUUAUUUAUUACACGGCUAACAAUUGAAUAAAUCUUAUUUUUAACAAUUGAUACAUAAUAAUUCAGAUUGCGGGUCAUUGGGUAGACCGGGCCUACCAAGUUCUGGCACUUGCGUAUUACAUAACGGGCGGAAAUAAUGCGUUUCAUCUUCUCCUCUUCAUCUUUGACAUCAAUUUUGGCCUAAACUUGCCCUCUCAUUCACUCUUUUAACUACUACUACUAUUACUAUCUCUUCUUUUCUUUUUAAGAUAUUGCUUGGUAAUAGUUUUGUCUUCAACUACCGGAAUAUGUACCAGGCAGGCAAAACAGGCACCAAAAUACGCUCAAAACUCACACACGUCAUUUCUCUUUCUCUCACACACAGUCACACAGUAACAGCUCAAUACUUUUUCUCUAAUGUUUAAUUUGCCUGCUGACCGGUGAGGGUGCUUUUUUGCUUUGUCUUCAUUCACUCCCUUCCUCAGUCUUCACACUGACAGAGGGCCACCAAGACACACACACAAUGCUCAUCAAAAUUUAAACUCAACCGACCAACCACUCUGCUAUUCAGAUCUCUCUACAGAUUUAUUUAUUUAUUUUUCUACUCCAGACAUGUGUAAAAUCAAAAGGGCAUUUCAGAAAUCUGGAAAAUAUUAGUGGGUUUUACUCGGAUUCCUGGCUGGUAACUUUCGAUUUGAAAAUGUUUCAACUUUAUUAGAUUUUCUUGAUGUGCAUUCUUGCCCCAUGAUAACGUAGUACUGAUGUUCUAGUUCUAGUGUUUGUUAAACACCAGAAAAGAAAGGACCUGUAUGCAUAAAAUGCUACUAUGGUUCACUUUUCUUGAAUUGCUGGACUUAAAAUGCUAAUAUGAAAGUUCACAUUUUUUUGAUCGUAUAGGUACUUUUGUUGAUGGGUUUUUCUGGGUUUCUCUAUUUGUUUAUGUUUUCAAUUAUAUCUGCAUAAUCGCCGUAGUGAAUUUAUAAAUGUGUAAACUCCGCGUGUGUUGCUUGCUUGUUUUAGUGUUUUUUGUGGUUCUUGAAUCUAGGGUUUUUCUUGAUAAUUUAAUAUAUGAUGAAGCGAUUUUUUACGUUUCUGAGUCAAUCAAAGGAUUUUGAAGCUUUUGGAAACACACAUUUUCUGUUUUCUUCUGUAGUUUGACUUAUAAUCUCGGUCUAUUUGGUUUUGAAUCAAUAAUGCGGGCACUGAAACUGUUGCAGUUUUGUAUAAAUUGAUGAUUUUGAGACUCAGGAUAUCUCUUGCUGAUGCAGCUAGCUGGAUCUCCUUUAGUUGUGUUGAUGAUUUAGGGGACUUGAUUGAUUUUUGGGAUUUGAAUGAAAAAAUGGAAGUAGAAAAGCGAAGUUCCAAGGGUGGAUUUCUUCAGUUGUUUGAUUGGAAUGUUAAAUCCCGGAAGAAGCUUUUCUCCGCCAAAUCUGAGUUAUCUGGUAAUUUUUUGUUUGACAUUUUUGUUUCAUUUGCUCUCUUAAGUUGAAGUUUGACUCUCUCUCUCUUUCAUGUUUAAUCUGUAUUGCUGUUUUUUCUCUGAAGGUUUAAUGUAUGAUGUUUUGACUGCAGAUAAUCCACAGCAAGGUAGAGAAACUUUUGAUGAUACAACAAUUUCACGUCUUCGAAAGGUACUUUUCUCUUCAUUUUAUUAUCCAGAUUAUUUUUCACCUUACCUUAAUUUGUUUGAAAGUAUUUAAGCUUCAAAAUACUUUUAUGAAGGCGCAUGACAAUGGGUGUGGUCCAAGUACCAGAGGGAACGAUGGUUCAAGUUAUGCUUCAUCUGUAAAUGGUGAUGAAAUAUAUGGUGCAAGAGCUCCGGGGGUCGUUGCACGACUUAUGGGAUUGGAUACGCUUCCUACUUCAAAUGUUUCUGAGCCCUGUUAUACACAAUUUUUUGAUUCUCACUCUUUUAGAGAUUCUCAUUACUCAAGGGGUAUGCCUGAUUUCUGGAGCGAAGAACACAUCAUAAUCUAUGACAGCAUGCGGAAUAAGCUAGACGGGUUCACCAAGAAUCCUGUUGAAGUGAUGCUGCAGAAGGUGCAGAAUCGACCAAUUGAGAAGUUUCAAACUGAAGUACUGCCCCCAAAAUCUGCGAAGCCCAUUUCAAUUACUCACCACAAGCUUUUGUCUCCCAUUAAGAGUCCAGGGUUCAUUCCAAGUAUGAAUGCUGCUUAUCUAGUAGAGGCAGCUGCCAAAAUCAUUGAACAAAGUCCUCGUUCAACUGCUAGACAUAAGUUGCCAUCUUUGGGUUCUUCUUCAGUUCCUUUGAGAAUCCAGGAUCUUAAAGAGAAAAUGGAGGUUGCUCAGAAAUCUUCUAGGACUCUUCAAGCUUCUCAGAAGGCCAAAGAACAAAGCUCUUCCAAACAGGUAAAGAGACAAACUAGGGACAGGGUCCAAGGUCAAGGAGAAGCUCCAGACAUGUUUAGGGUUUCUGAUACGUCAAGAAAUGCUGGUUCUCAGAGUAUCAAGAAUAAGGAAAAAUCAGUUUCACUGGCUGUUCAAGCUAAGGCUAAUGUUCAGAAGAAAGAGGGAUGUACUGCAAUUGGAAACCGGAGUUCUGUAAACCAUAAGGAACCUAAUGAUGUCAGGCAUAGCUCUUCUGGUAGGAACCAAUCAAAAAUCCAAAAGAAUGUUGAAAGGAGAACAUCGACUGACAAAUCUUCUGAUGUACUUAGGCAAAAUAACCGGAAGCAAAACUUUGCUUCAGCUAAAGAGAUGGAAGGUUCAAGGCCUCCAUUUUCUCAUCAGAAAGACAGGAAACAGCUGUCUUCACAUGACGUACCUAGGCCGAAUAAGACUGUAAAUAAGAUCGUUGUAAGCACUCCUGUCAUGCCCGGAAAGACCUCAAUCCAUCAUGUUGGAAAGGAACAACUUCCAUCAGCAGUAAAGAGAUCUUCAGGAAAGAAGCAACCAAUCAAUGGAAACAAUUUUUCUCAUGGAAAUGAUAACCAAUCAGUGAGUAGAGGCGAAAGGUCUAUAAAAUGCAAUUAUGAAAUUGAUAGGUGCAGUAAAUGGGAUGCAGCUGAGAGAAAAAAUGGCACGGAUGUUGUAUCAUUCACAUUCACUUCUCCAAUUAAAAAGUCAUUAUCUGCUUCUAGUUCACCUGUGAAAGUCACUGACAAGAAACGAGGCUCAUUCCUUGUUCCCACAACUAGUGAAAAUCAGUCUUCUUUUGGUCUGAAUGUUGAUGGUGGUGAUGCUUUAAGCAUUCUUUUGGAACAAAAGCUCAAGGAGUUGACAUCUAAAGUUGACUCAUCUAAUCAAGACCACUUCCAUUCAGAGUUUCCAUGUAGUUCUGCUGGCAGUUGUGAAGAUUCAGUGUCUACUCUCACAAUGACACAUACCACAUCUAGUGAACAUCACAAAAAUUCCCAACUUGAUGUGCCUCAGGACAAACUGCGCAUCCAACCUAAAUCCGAUAGCUCUUCUAUUGAUGAACUUCACCUUAAAGCAAUGCAAAAGUGGCAGGUAAUUUGGUUUAUGAUUUUGUCUGUACGUGUAUUCUUAUGGGUCAUGUUUUUUUGACUGCAUUUGCUGUAGUAAAAAAUGAAAGAGGCAUACAUAUUCCUUUGUUUAUCCAGAAAAAAAAACCCUUUGACAAUGCUGCAAAACAGUAAAAAGUGAUUGAAAUUCUCUAUCUCACUGGAGCAUUACAAGUAUGCUUUUGUUGGUUCAAAAGUUUAUCUGGAUUUUUUAAAAUGAAGAUAUCACAUCAAUACAACUACUAGUGCAUUCUAGGUAGCAGGUAAUAAAUAUUAUCAGCUGGUGUCAUCUUGUGAUCAAGGAAUGGCUUCAAUACAACUGUGCUGUAGCCCUUGAUUCCUUCUUUUUGUUGAACAACUGGGUAGAUAUUCUUCUGGCAUCUAUGUAAUUCAAUAAUAUGGGUUACAAACCAAGAAUGGUCCUAUGGUGGAUGUUGGUUCAUUUGUAGAACUUCUGCCUAAUGGCUAUGAACCUCUGUAGAAGUUUGAACUCAAGGACAAAUUAGGUGAUUUCCCUUAUCAGCAAUAGAGUAUUUUAAUUGGCGGCCUUAAUUUGCUUUAUGUAGUUUCUCUUUUAUCUUAUUUAACCAAAUUUCAUCAAAAAAUUUUAUCUCGCUUUAAAAGUUCAUUGCAUGUUGCAUUUCUAAUAAAUAACUCACAUCAACAGUAUUGUAGAAUGACCAAUUCUAUUCCUUGUACUACGAUCCUUGUUUAGAUACUUAUUUUUGGCCAUGAUUAAGUCAAAUCUACAUAGCUAACGUGUAUAAGUACUUGUACCGUCAUGUAGAGAAGCUUUUAUAUUGCAAACUAACUGCAGUGAUCACUUCUCAUAUUCCUUGAAUAUUUGGAAUACGUUAGUUGGGGAUUAACAUCUGCUAAUUUCAUAUCUUUCUUUCUCAUCGUCAUGGAGUAAAUCACACGGUUACUCUUACAAGAAUCACAUAAUGAAGUUGCUCUUGCUAGAAUUUUUACCUCUUACAACUCUUGAAGUGAUUCGCUAACUGUACAUUAUAUCAGUCUGUUUGUUUAAACUCUUAUCCCACUUGUUUAGAGUCAGAUAAUGAUGCUUAUUCAUUAUUAUUACAGUAUUCAUUUAAAACAGCUCUCUGUGGAAUGUCAGUUGGCAAAUUUAAAUGAGAUUUGGCUGGAAAUGCCAGAUGAUGAACAGUUGCCGCCAAUACGCUACUUUUAAGUUUGCUUGUACCCAAACAAGUUUGUUUCCUUUUAGUUUUUAGGCUUCAACUGUUGGUUUGUCCUAAUAAACAUCCGUUAAGUAGUUUUUGUUCUUUCAAGUUCAAACUAUGGUGUCUCGCAUGAUUUUGAACUCCAUAUUAAUUGAAAAAUGCAUGUAGUGGCCUCUUUCUUCUUUGUGCAUGCAUGCAUUUGUGUGGGUUAAUAAGCAGCAUAACACUUGCUAAUUUUAUUCUGCUCAUAUAGUCCUGAAAAGAAGUAUUGUACUCUGUAUUUUCUUCACCAUUCUCAGGGUGUACAGGAGAUGGAAGAGCUUGGCUUUAUUAGAUAUGACAGAGACCCCAAAUAUCAAUCCUGUGGUCCAGUGUCAAGUUUGGAACCCGCCUACUCAGAGAGUAGUUGCAACUCUCUAGAUAGCAACAGAAGUAUUACCAGUGAGGGUAAGAUUGCUUGUCCUCUAUACACUGUUAUCACAUUUUUCUAAUAUACACUGGAUUGAGAUAGGCUAUAUUAUCUGGCAUUUUAUACAUAGUCCAAGAACUAUAUAAUUGAUCUAUGAUCAACUGCAUAAUAAAGAUUUAACUGAUGGCUGUUAACAUUUAGGAUACACGAUGAGGUUAUGAAUGUACAGAAGCCUGUGAGCCUUGAAGUCUUGAUUGAAAUAUUUAAUCGGGACCAACUCUUGUAGUCCUUAGUAGAUUUUUCUUUGGGGGGUGUAAUUUAGGAUCUAAUGUAAUAUUUUCUUCAAUUUCAGCGAGCAAGAUGUUUUUGGCAGUUGAAGCUUAUGAAAUGACUCAAUGGAGCUCCACUAGAAAGUCCCAACCUGUGGAAGCCGACAUGGAAGUGUCAGAUUCUGCCUCUUCAGCCUCUCUCGGGGCAACAAGUGUAACAGAUACAAGUUCAUCAUUCACUUCAAUGAUUACUAAUGAAUCAGCCAAAUGGGAGUUGGAAUAUAUCCGGUGUAUACUUGUUAACACUGACUUGUUGCUGGAGGAGUUUGCACUUGGUGAGGCACACAAGAUCUUAGCUCCCAAUCUCUUUGGUCAGUGGGGUGAAGUAAAACUAGGAUCAAGUAAAAAUGUGGAAAAAAACUUCAAGUUAGUGCAAAAGGUAUUGUUCGACUAUGUUGAAGAAUCUCUGGAAUUAAAGUGCGCGCAGCAUUUUAGUGGAAGCUGGAAAUCUUGGACUAAGCUAGCAGCUCUGAUUCAGAAGAAAGAUUGGUUGGCUGAAGAACUGGGCAGGGAGAUUUCAGGCUGGACAAGCAUGGAAGAUUUGAUGGUAGAUGAGCUUGUGGACAAGGACAUGAGCACCAAAUUGGGGAAGUGGGUUGAUUUUGAGACUGAGGCAUUUGAAGAAGGUGUAGAAAUUGAGAAGAGAAUAUUGAGUAAUCUGGUUGAUGAAUUGGUUGAUGAUUUCUUGUUGUCCUAAAGCAUUGCAACAUAGGCUACAUAGGUUUUACAUUACUCAAGUAUGACUUGUAGAUACAUGGUUAUUGUGAUGGGCCCAAAAAUACAAAGGCUUAAAAUUCAUACUUGAGCAGAUUGCAUUUUGAUUGUAACUUCACCGUUCUUCAUUGCUUGCUGUCUCCCUGGGCAGAACUGCACUACUGAAAUUUCUUGAAACCCUUUUUAGGCCUAACUUCCUUUCAUUAUAGGACCUCAUAAACAGUGACAUUACAGAUUCCGUCCGUAUCUUCUACUAUAAGACCUUUACAACCUGGCUCAAAUAUUACAAACUUGUGUAAAACCAAUUCUUUGUAAAAAGAAAAAAGAUUGAACCGGUGAUCAUAAAAUAUCAUGCAGAUUAUAGACAUUGAAAAAAAAAUCAAUUUUGAUGUAUAACUGUGUUAGGCUGUGCCUAGCAGACAUGAGGGAUUCGACAUGACAUAUGUAUGAUGAGCCAAAGCCCCAAUUUGACUAAUCAUUCUAGUUGUCCUUCUUUGGGCGGCCAUGUGGGGUGUUUGGCUGGGAUUGGUCAGGUUGAAUUUGGCUGUAGUAGUGAUUCUUUUCCCCAUAAAUGGGAAUAAUUGAUUUACACGGUUGAACCAUAAGAACCUGACAAUUGACACAAUCUCAAGUGUUUUAGUGCUGGUGGUUAACCAAAUCCUUGUAGAUCCAAUGGUUUGAGGCUGAGUCUUUUCAUACUUGAGGAGUCGUAGCCAUGCUCUGAUGAAAGGAAGGACAACAAAAAAAAAAAGAAAAAAGAAAAAACAUGGAGUUACCACUUCAUUAUCAAGAGAAUCGCUUUCUUUUGGCCCGCCCUAGUAUGUGUCAAAAUGUGAUACCAUCACUUAGAGUUAGAGGAGGUGGAAAACUAGUCAAGUUGCAACGUUUGACCAUCAAAUUUAACAUUUUCAACAUUUUUUUGAUAUGGGUAUAACUUGAUAUAAACGAGCUUGACCUUGAAAAUAGAUGGUUAGGAGGAUUCAAUAGCACUUGGUUUUGGCUGAAUGGCACCUACUUGUUGAGGCUCAAGAAUGUCAAAAUGGAUAAGCAAGAAGAUGGGAGUGAAUUUCUUGAAAUGACUUGCUAGGGGUAUCCAAUCACCAAUGGGACUGAGCCAAAUGGUACACAAAUAGAACUUCACUGCAACUACAGGUUGAAUUGUGGUCCAACAUUUAAGUAGUAGGUGCUGGAAAGAAUUACUACUCUUAUGGUUUGGAGAGAUGAUGAUGGAAUCUAGGACAAAAUGUUGCCUUAGGGGAGUGAUCCUUCCAAGAAGCCCUUUGUGAUUGGCAUCAUUAACUUGGGCACAAAUCAAAGCACAUGCUUCUAAAUUCAUGAAUUCCAAGCAAAAUGUUUGUUUAUGAGCAAGUUGAUGUUUGUGGUAUUUAUUGCAGACAAGUAUUUUAUGGCUGUGUUGUGUAAUGGGAUGGCAGAAGAUGGCUGUGGAGAUGAACACAGAAUGCUCAUACUUUGCCAAAUGGGCUCACGUGCCAUCUUCUAAUACUGGUACGUUAACCGGCCAACAUAUCACGUGAUCCCAUCAUUUCUUUGCCUUAUUGCUUAGAGUGCUAUCUUGGAUUGCCUCUUUUUUUUUUAAAAUUUUUUUACGUUUUCGUGAACGUAUUUUUUAAACAAUUUUUUGUAUCUCAUACACAUCAAAUAGCUGGGAGGGGAUUUGGGUGGGUUUAUAAGUCUCCUGAGAAACCUCAAGAGUUGCCGACUUUUGAGGUUUACUCGGAGUUUAGGUUUGUAAAGUCACAAAAGUCUUACGAAAGGCUUUGACAAAAAAGACAAUCGCUUGGAUCGGGAUUAGUGGGGUCUCUUUAAGUUUUAGUAGCAGCUGCCCCCUUACGUGGUUAUCCCACAUCGGGGCUGAGAGGGGAUCUGGGUGGGUUUAUAAGUCUUCUGAGGAACCUCAAGAGUUGCCGGCUUUUGAGGUUUACUCGGGGUUUAGGUUUGUAAAGUCACAAAAGUCUUACGAAAAGUUUUGACAAAAAAAAAAUAUACACAUCAAAUAGCUAUGGUAUUUCUUUUCUACAAAAACUCUAGAAAAUAACAAUCCAAACGGGUUAUAUAGGCAGUACAUUAUUCAUGAUCUAUUUUUCCAAAAGUUAAUAGAUAAUGUUACAGUCACAAUGUUUAUACCAGAGAAAAUUUUCUUGUUGUAUCCUCACAUGUCAAUAUUAAUUCAAGACUAGGAAGGUUGAUUGGAAGGAUAAUUUAAUUUAAUAAUUAAAACCAAAUUUGCUAUGACAUUAAUUCAAGACUAGGAAGAUUGAUUUGAAAGCUAUUUUUUCCCAAAAAAUUUUUACAUUUUUCAUGAACAUAUUUUCUAGUUCACCUUUUAAUCUCACAUAUAUCAAAUCGUUAUAGUAUAUAUUUUUUAUAAAAACUUUAGAAAAUAGCAAUCCAAAUGGGAAUUAUUUCAUUUGUAAGUACAAGUUUUUGAGAACAAAGAGCCAACCAAAGAAAGAAAAGAAAUAAGAGAAACUUGAAAAUUUUUUCAAUUAAGUAUAAAAGUAAAUUUUUCUUACACUGACAUACACUAUCAUCGUUGGAUUCAUGAUAUGUAUGCAAAAGUAGAAUUUCGAAUUCAAAUUUUGCAUAGUUGUCAUUCAUCCAAUGCUGAUAGAGUCACCUUUAGUGUCUUGCUCACCACAAAAUUUGAGUAAGACACCAUCAUUGAUGAACAAUUUUAUUAGAAAUUGUGUUUGGCUCGCAUUUUUAGGAUAAAAAAAAUUACUAUAACACUUUUUUGAGAUGUAUUAUAUGAACGAACAGGUAGUUUAAAAAUGUGUUAAUGAAAUAUUCUCAAAGAACUCAAAAAUUUUUCCCAAUAUUCACAAUCAAACAAACUUGUAUCUAUGUGUUUUUUCCAUUGGUCAUUUUCUAUUUUUUUUAGGUCGAAAAGCUCAAAUCUCUUUUUUUUUCAGCUCAAAAUCACUAUGAAUCUACCAUAACAAUAUGUGUCCUCUUGUUUAACUUACAAGUAGCUACCUCAGAUAUAGAGUGUGUUUGGAUAGCCAAGUAACGGCCAAAAAUUAUUUGCUUACAUCACAAAUAUAAUUUUUAAUAUAAUUUUUAAUCUUUUCAAUUACCUUUUUAUCUCACAUACAUCAUAUCACAAAAAAUGCUACAGUAAUUAUUCCAAAUAGGAAAAAUGAUCGGUCUCAUCUUUCACAUUUCACAAAAAUAUUCUUUUCGUCCCUCACUUAAAAAACGAAUCAAUUUCGUCCUUGACAUUUAAAAACUGAAGUUCUCACAUCCCUGAACCCAAAUUUCAAUCUGAAUCAAACCACCAAUCAACCUGAUUACAAAUUUUGGGGGUGUAAUUGGUAAAUCACUUAGGUUAACUCAACUUGAUAUUCAUGUAAAUUUUAAUGAACCCAAAAAUAAAAAAUAAAAAAAUUAUAACAUAAAAAAGAAAAAUUAAUCUUUCCUACAUUAUCAUUGUACACACUGACAGUUUUUAUGUACCGCCAUAUCAUUUCAAUUUAAAUUUAAACACCAAAUUUUAUAUUUAUGAUACGCAUCUGGAUUCGCAAGCGGAUAUACUGAUGGUGUAUGAAAAGAUUUAUCCAAAAAAAAAAAAAACUCUACUAUUCCAAGACAAAGAAUGGCCUUUUAUGUUAUAAUUUUUAUUUUUUUGGUUUAAUAUAUUUCAUAUGAAUAUGAUGAAAUUGACCGAGUGAUUUAUCAAUUAUAUUUCCGAAAUUUAUUACUAGAUUAUUGAAUGGUUUGACUCAGAUUGAAAAUUAGGUUCAGGGAUGUAAUAGCUUUAAUUUUUAAAUGUCAGGGAUGAAUUUGCUUCAUUUUAAAAGUGAGGAACGAAAAGAAUAUUUUUGCGAAAUGUAAAGAAUGAAACAUGUCAUUUUCCCUUCCAAAUAAUAUUCCAAAUUAGUAUAGUUGUCAUAUUUCUUUCAAGAUUCAAAAUACGCUUAUAGACAGGGUUGUAUUCAUGUAUUGAGUUAGUAUACAUCAAUAAAAUUCGUUCUUAGAACAAAGUGACAUUAGUAUACACCAAAUCAUAUAAAAUAAACAAUUUGUACCCCUCAACCGCUUCAAUUCUUAACUGUAUUUGUCCCAAACCCCAAAUAUAGCAACACAUAAAAAGUAGACUACUUUCUAAAAUCAGUGGGCGAUCAAAUACCAUAGGAAAAAGCUAAACCCUGAAUACUAUUUCAACAAACUAAUUGUUGUAACUUUUUUGACCAACUUAUAUACAUUGAUAUUAAACCAAAAAAAAAAAAAAGAAAAUGAAAAAAUUGACCAACUCAAAAUUUUAUAUGUAAAAUUUUAAGAUUCUGCAGAAGAUUCUGCUACACAACCAUAACUAUUCUGCUUUUAACCAAAAAAAAAAAAAGAAAGAAAGAAAAAUGUUCUUUCAAAGGACCAUCUAUCUUCUCUUUUGCAUAUGCUGUCCCUGAAAUUAAGCAGUACGUUCUGUGAGUGCUCCCUAACCAUCAGCACUCAGCAGUCAAAGAGUACUAUUCCACAGCUAAUUAGGGCAGGCAGACGACCCGCUUGCUCUGGCCACAGCUUUCAUUUCUUCAAGAAACAUUUUUGGUAUUAUUUCUUUUUCCUAAGUGAUGGGUACUCAUAUACCGAAAUCCGCUAUUUAGGACGCGUUUGAUGAAAUUAGAGUCUGAAAACUGAAGUUUGAAAUCUGAAAUGUAAUGUCUGAAUUCAUUAAGUUAUUGAAUUGUUAAAUAUUAAAUCUAAUAUAUUUAAGUGCCUAUCAUAUUUAGUGAUAAGUAAUUAGUUUAUUAUUUAAUUUUGAGAACAAACUUUGUCUAGAAAAUUUAGUGCUACUUAAUUAAUUCAAAUGUCUAAUUUUUAGUUAUUAAACGGUCUGAAUAUGUUAAAAUCUGAUUCCAUUAAUUUUAAUCUUAUAUUAGUUGCAAGAAAAAAUUGGUAUAUAUUAUUAGAAAACAUCCUUGGUGAAAGGAGACUUCCAAGUCCGGCACAUUUGGAUUGUUAUUUUUUGAAAUUUUUGAAGAGAAAUGUAUUGUAGCGAUUUGAUAUAUGUGAAAUUAAAAAGUGAUUGAAAAUUGUGUUCAUAGUAAACGUGAAAUUUUUUUUUAUUAAAAAACUAACCUCAUUUGGAUUGCUAUUUUAUAAAGUAUUUUAUAGGUUAAUGCACUCUAUUGAUUUGAUGUAUGUGAGUUAAAAAGAUAAUCGAAAAAUAUGUUCACGAAAAACGUAAAAUUUUUUUUUAGAGAAUCCUUUGAAAGUUAACUAAAUGAAGAAGGGUUGAUUACCAUUUCUACGUUGAGGCAGGCAAAUGUAUUUGGACAAAUAAAAUGCCAUAUAAGAGGAAACCUUAGAAGUAAAUCACUUUACUUCUUUCAAAGAUAAUAAUUCUGUUGUACAUUUUCGCUCUAAAACAUGCUUUGGUUGUCCCCAAAUGUAACAUUUAUUUAAACCAUGUGUUUUGAGAGUAAUUCUGAGUCUCUGACUUGCAAAUACUAAUAAUCUGUCAUUCUUCCAUUGUUGGUGUUGACAAGUGGGACUUGGAACUUGAUAAAGUUAGUUAAUUUUAUUAUAAAACAGGUAAAAUAAUAAUAAUAAUAACAAUAAUGUAAAUAGCAAGGGCCAUAUUUUACGUGUCAAGUGCCCUUUGGCCUCAAUGAGAUUCCUCUGCAGCAAGCUACUAUGGACACCUGAAUCUGCUUUCUUGGUUAGAGAAGAACCGGAAAAAAGAGGCUGUUUUCUGCAAUGUUCACAUAUUAAUGCCAGUAAUAAUACUCCCCUUUUUUUUUUUUAUAACUGACGUUUAAGAAAUUUACUCUAGUGUACUUUUAUCUGUCAUUUUAUUAUUUCCAUACAGUAUUAAUUAUUUUUUUACAAUUUUACCCUUUUAUCUCUCUUUUCCAAUAAAGGGUUCUUAAUUACUACUCAUUUAGUUUGCAUUGCUUUUGGCUUAGUAAAACAACACCAUUUAGUACUCUAGUAAGAGAAAAUAUGGGUGAAUUGGACAAUUAAUGAGAGUACAAAAGAAAAGUAGUAUACAGAUUUAAACAAUGAAAAACUUUUUUUAAUUGAUGUGUAAAACCUUAAACGUCAGUUGUAAAAAAAUGGAGGGAGUAUCUUUUUAUGGUUUCUGGCCAACAAAGUAAGUAGAUAUAUAAACUAAACUAAGGAAGCCUAGACAUUUUUAUUCUACCAAUGAUUAAUUACUAAUUAGAGCAAUGCCCACCUCCUCGUUUUAGCUGCCCCCAAAAAGUCAGAAUCCUAUGGAGGAGCGGCUCUUGGCUUACAUUCCCUAGCUACUGUUUCACACACAUACAUGUGUAAAUGAUGCAUUCCAUUUCUUACUCUCUUCAUGAUGAUGAUGAUGAUGAUGAUGAUGAUGAUGAUGUCUAUUAAUGCAUAAUGCCAUUCACAACACACCACCACUAUUAGUAAGUAUGUGGUGAUCAAUAGCUAUGGACAUAGAUAGAGGCUUGUUUGUAUGACUAAAUCACUCAAAUUGUUUGGGAGGAAUUUGUUAAAUAUUUGAUAUACAAGUUAGAGUUCAACUUUACAGACUAUCUUGAAAUUUAAACCGUUAAACACGAGGAUCUUAAACUUUUUCCUUUACAAGAAGAAAAACGGCCCUAAAUUGCCGUUCAUUUAGAGGUCGAAGAGGUGUUUGAUCUUGAAUUAUUUCAUCUUAUGAAUGUUAUAUUAUAAUAAAACGUUAAAUCAUAACUUCAUAUUAAUGUUUGUGACUAGUUACAAAAAACUAAGAAGAACAUGUCGAUGAAACCCUUGAAGAUGCAUCACUAACUAAGGUUGUGUUUGAAUUGUAUUUUUCAUGAUUUUGCAUGAAAAAAUUACUGUAGCGAUUUGAUAUAUGUGAGAGAAAAAGGUAAUAGAGAAAUGUGAUCACGGAAAACGACGUAAUUUUUCGAUGAAAAAUCGCAAUUCAAACAGGCCUUGAAAGAGGAGGAGAGUAACACAAAAAAGAUGCAACUCUCUUUGUGUUCUUCACUUGUACCCCAAAAAACCAAAAAAGAAGGGUUUACCACAAAGGUGGCUCUUUGAUUUGUCCCAAAACGAGACGGGCAAACAGUCCUAAGAUCUUGAUUGACGUGCAUCAUCAUGUAUGAGCAUAAUGAUGUGCACAGAAGAUGAGAGCAAGGCACAUGAAACCUAGCAAAUCUGCAGGGGUAAGAAAACUGUGGUGUGGCAGUUAAGAGGAGUUGGAAAAGGGGGGAAGGGAUGGGACUUGAUUAGGGGAUUAAGAACGUGCCCGGCCUCUGAUUGUUUGCAGGCAUGUCUGUGGCGAGUGGUCCAUUGCACCUUUCCCAUUUUCCCAUCAAGAUCCCUACUCCUCUCUCUGUGUCCACCAUUUUUAAUUCUUUCAUACCAUCUCUUCUCUCUUGCCAGCAUUGCAUCAUACCAAUGCAUUUUUUUUUUUCUUUUGAGGACAAGUUUCCAGCGUUGGAUUCCAGCAAAACCUCCGAUUUGCAUCUGUCACACUGUAGUCUAUACUAUGCUACAACUUACAUUGCAUAGCUAGUAGCCUAGUACAUGGUACAAAUUCAUCGAGAAAUAUACACUUAAUAAAGAUUUGCUUGGUACGCUCUCGAUUUCUCUCGUGCCCCUACCUCGAGGUCAAGACUUUUUUUUUUUUUUUUUUAAAUAAUAUGAAGUUUGAGUGUGUUUAAUUUCAAUCACGAUCAAUCAAGAGGCAGGACAUACUUCUGAAAUCAUAAGUCGUUUAUAGAAUUUUUUAUGAAUCGCUCACAAAUUCUGUCAUUCUCACAUGAGCAGUGAGAUUCGAACACAUGAUCUUUUGUAAUGAAGCGGACCAUUUUUGCAACUAAAACCAACUUGCGUUGGCAACAUUACUGUUGAUUAUCCAACAUUCGAUUUUCUGAAAAGUAUCAGCUAAACCCCUUAAUGGUAAUGCUAAUAUUUUGAUAAAAAUAAACAUGUGAAAAGAACAUUCUUGAGGAUGUAUUCAACCACGCUAAUGUUGGUGAAAUUUUCAGCAACAUAAUUCUGCCUCGCCACAUUUUUUUAGGUGUAAUUAUGCUAACACCUUCUUUGUCUUGGGUUUAAUUUUGCCUUUCGUGUAAAUAAAAGGCGUAGCAUUCAUUACCUAUGUUUGGUGUUAGGUUAACCGAAUAUGACUUUGUUGUUGUGUUUUGGUUGUGGUGAAAAGAUGUUCCCAAGAGCUGGUGCUGAUACAAUUAAAGACAUAAAAUCAUGCUAAGAAAUCUAAACAAUCCACUGGGGUAAAAAAAAAAAAAAAAAAAAAAAAGUGGGAUAAAAUCAUGCCAAUGAAAUCAUCCAUGAAAAAAAAAAAAAAAAUCCAUCUAUGUGCUUCCCAGUACUAAAAUAAAAUGCUAAUCAGCUAAUAGCUUGCUGGAAGUUAGAGUACCCCCUAAUUAUUCUUUCUUGAUACUCAAAAUGUCUUCUUUAUCACCCCCUAAUUAUUCUCAAUAUACCAUUUAUGUUGUCCUAAAAUUAUUUGUUAUUCCCAAAGGCCCAGUUAGACUAUUGCCCUUUCCUUUUUAGUACUGGGUUUGUUUGGAUUGCUUCAUAUUUCCCCAAUUUUAUUUGCUUACAUCAUCUUUACAAUUUCCAAUACACCUUUUUAUCUUCCCAAUAUCUUUUUAUCUCACAUACAUCACAUCACAAAAAGUGCUACAGUAAAAAUAUUCCAAAUAACUUACAAUCCAAACAGACCCAGUGUUUAUUGUGGCAAAGUAGUACAAGAAAGCAAAUACUUCAUAAUUUUUUAUAGUACUUUUUGAAACAUAAUAUAGUAGUAAAUAAAAAAUUGAUCACAAAGACAUAAAAGAUUGUAAAAGAACUUGUUUUCAAAAUCUCAAAGAAAUUUUUUUUUCCUAAAUGACCCUCGUCCAAACAAAGAUGUAUAAAUUCAGAACCACCGUAUGGUGACAUGCAUGCGAACGAUUGCUGCCGACUCUCGUCUAAUUUGAGGUCGAAUUUAAGUUCGAGUUUGGCCUUGGUUGGAUUGCUGUUUUCCGUCGAAAAAUUAUGUCGUUUUCCGUAAUUACAUUUUUCUAUUACAUUUUUUCCUCACAUACAUCAAAUCGUUACAAUAAUUUUUUUAUGAAAAAUCAUGAAAAAUGCAAUCCAAAUACAACCUUACAUUAAAAAUUCAAUGAUCUCAAGUUUAAAUUCGAGCUUGGUAAAAUUGGAUCGAGAUUUAAUUCGAUUAGAUCAAAAUUUGAAUUUAUUCGAUUCAUUUGUCUCUCUAAUUUUAUCAUAACAAAAAAAAAUUACCAAAGUAAAAGGAUUUGAAAAAAAAAAAGAAAAAGAAAGAGAGGAAGAAAGAAAAUCCUGCACAGCACUCAACACAUCAUUUACUCGAAGGCAAAAGUGGGGGCGUGUGACUGUGUGUCGCAGUAAAUGAACAUUUCAUAAUGAUAUCAUAUCCAUCAGCAAAGGCCCAAAUAUAUUUACUAAAACAAUACGAAAUCUGAAAAGACAGCAGUGGCAUUGACGAUAUAAAUCCCAACAUUCAAGGUCCAUUCCUUAACGUAACCGCCCUCCCAUCCUUCCCCCCAUUAUUUUGCACGCUUCACCACCCUUCCCCACUCCCCACCUCCUAUAGUCCCUUUCGCAGAAAAAAAUGCUGUUCCCGGAAAAUCAAGAACUCGAAAUUCCCACCACCACCACCUCCUCCUCCUCCUCCUCCACCGCCACUCAAACACUCGAGAAAUGUGAUCCCACCACCGCAAUGAAUGAGCCCAUGAACAUGCUCACCGAUUACUAUGACAUUGAUAGUACUUGCUCCACCCCAUACGUAAGUGCACCCUCUAGCCCGGGCCGCGGCCAGGGUGCACCCGUCACCGGCUUUUACUACAGUGCUCCGGCGAGUCCUAUGCAUUUCAUGCUUUCUACGGCCAUGAGUAGUUGUAACAGUAACGACUUAGGACUGUCUUCCCAACCUGAAGUUUCCCCUACUUCUUCCACUUGCUCAUUCGAGUUCGAUUUCUCAGCCAGUAAAGUUUCCACCAAUGGGACUUCAUCGGCCGGAUCCAUGAGCUCCGCUGACGAGCUUUUCUUGAACGGCCAGAUCCGGCCCAUGAAGCUGUCCUCCCACCUCCAGAGACCUCAAGUUUUAGCCCCGCUCCUGGAUUUAGAUGUGGCUGAUGAUGAAGUUGGCGAAAUUGUUAGAGGAAGAGAGGCGAAGAUGCGGGAUAGAUCCUUGCGGAGGAGGACUAGAUCUAUGUCACCCCUGAGGACUAGCUCGAGCCCAUUCGGGUGGCACGAUGGAGGCGAUUUUGAGGAUGAUAGAUCAGGUGGAAUUUUCGAGGACAAAAAGCAGCUGGCUGCUGCUAAAAAUGGCGAGGAAGAAGAAGCUGUUUCGGGCGAGACGACCCCGUGCCAGUCUGGUGCGUCCUCGAGAUCUUCAUCCGUGGGGAGGAGUUCGAGUAGAUGGGUUUUCUUGAAGGAGUUUCUCUAUAGGAGUAAGAGUGAAGGAAGAAAUAAUGGGCACAAGUUUUGGGGGUCUCUGUCAUUUUCACCUGUUAAAGACAAGAUCAAAAUGGAGAAAUUAAUGCCAACAAAGUUCCCAUCACUUCAUUCUUCGUCUUCUUCUUCUUCCUCUCCUAAGGAUAAAGAUAAAGAGAAGGCCUCUCCCACAGCUGCAGCAACAGUUUCACCUGAUUUGUUGGCAACAGAGUCUGCAGAUGGGAAAAGAGCAAAACACACUGGCGCCCAAAAAGAUGGGAAGAAGAAGGUGGCGGUAAAUGGGGUUGGAAAGAGAAGGGUUCCUCCAUCACCUCAUGAACUGCAUUAUACUGCCAAUAGAGCUCAAGCUGAGGAGAUGAGGAAGAAGACAUUCUUGCCAUAUAGGCAAGGAUUGCUUGGUUGUUUGGGAUUUAGUUCCAAAAGUUAUGGUGCCAUGAAUGGUUUUGCUAGAGCUUUGAACCCUGUUUCUUCAAGGUAAAAAUAAAAAGGGGGAAGAAGAUUAUGUAAAAUAAGUUAAAAAAAAAAUCUAUGAUCAUUAGAUUAGAUUAUCCUUUCAUGGGGUUGAAAAUUAUUACUAGUUGGGGAAAAAAAACGUAAAGUGGGGUUUGUAUAGAAACUUUCUUUUUAAUUGUGCCUUCUUCACUUUUCAGUGUAAUUUUGGGAUCUGCCUUUGUAUGUAGUUAACUCUACUACGAAUUUGAUGGCGAUCUCUUCGUUGGAAGGUUGGAAAUAGAAGAAGUUUGUUGAUUAAUUGUGAUGGAUUUGUUUAGCCAUUCUUGGCAAACUAUUCCUUAGAUCCACAAUUUUCUUCUGUUUGUUGUCUGGAUGAACAAUCCACCAGAGAGUUAGUAGCUCCAAUAAGUCAAAGCAUCUAUUCUAGCCGACUAAUCACUUUUUGAUCUCAUCUCUAUUGUUCAGUUCUUGACGUUUUCUUUGGUAUUUUUGGCACUUGUUUAGUAGACCAUUUUUCAGUGGUAGUUGUAAUCUAUUUGACCAACUUGCUGCAUAAUCGUAACGCAAUAAUUUCCCUGGUUCCCCUGAGAGACAGAGGUCUCUUUCCAUCUCUCUCAAAAGCAACAAACUUUCUGCUGAGCCAUGAUGCUUGGCAGCAGAUGAUGCACAGGGGUCUGAAAGAGUAAAUCCAUCCGUGUUGUUGCAGAGACGCAUAUUGUUUCAAGAAACAAUGAUCAUGUAGUAGCAGAAAAUAACAGCUCAAUUUGGGGCGUGGAUGAUGGAUGAGAAUUCUGCUAGUACCUGUUACUUCUGUUUUCAUCCUUUUGUUUUUAUGCCUUCCAAAAGAUUCCUGAACUUAUUUACGUUAAAAUUUGUGAUUAGAUGGUUGCAACUGAAAAGCGAUGUUAAUUCCAUAUGCCAUACCUUUGUCCUUUCUUGGACGAGUAAAACCUUUAAUAAAAAGAUGGAAAAAAGAAUGAAAGGGGUUAUCUUUUUCCGUUGCAAAGGUGAUGCAAUAGAUUUUUUCCUUUUCUUUUCCUUUUGGGGCAAUUGAGGUCGUGAGAGAUGGGUGGUUUUGUUUCGACUAUAACUCUUUGCUCCGACGUCGAAUUCGAGUGCCCGUUUACGGCAUUAAAAAUUAGACACUUUCAAUUUUUCAACGGUAUAAAAUGCAUGCUCUGAUUCCACCUGAGUGAGCCCUUUAUCAAAUAAGAAAGAAUGUACAUUUGCUUAAACUUAAGACAACGUCUUAAAAGAGCUUCACUCGAUUGAAAUUCAAGAUUCAAAAACGAGGAUUUAAAGUCACAAAGAAACUUAUAUCCUCCAUGAAAUCAGCUACAUGAACAGAAGUUACACGAAAGUCCCUAAAAGUUUUCAUAAUUGAAUAGUUUUACCAAUUACUUUUAGAAUUCAUCUAUUUUAGGCAAUUCCUUUAACCAUUUCACAUUUUUCACUUAACAAUACAAGAAAAAAAGAAACCCUUUUCUAAGUAAUCUUGAUUCCAAACGGAUUAAAAGUUGCCAAGAAAAGAAAGUGAAAAAUACUACUAGUGCAACCUCAUUGAUCAAAUAUUGAACUGUUCAUGCUGCAUGAUGCAUGGGAGGCAAAAGCUUUAGAGGCCAUGUUAGAUUUUUGAUGCAAUUAUUUGAUGGAUGCUGUCCUAGGUGAGCCCUUGUUAGGUAUGGGGCUAGGCCCCAUCUUCUACAAUUGCAAAAUUGGCUGUGUUGCCUGAUAAACAAAUGUGACAAGGACACGUAGCUGUUUCUGGUUGUUUUUUCCAAGGGCCAGCCUUGAUAAAAGCAUAUGCAUUCCCAGAUUGAUUGAAAAAAGAUGAUCAUUUUUGGAUAAAUUAGGGCCUACCGUAAUCCAAUUUGGUUAAUUAUACAAAGUCCAUUUGAGGGAGACGUUGAAAAGUUUCUUCGGAGGUUAAACAAAGCGUUUUGUCUUUGUCAUCUUGAUAUUAUCUUUUCUAUGAUCUUUCUCCAGUGGAAAUAGACCGAUCCUGAUAAUUUCGGAGUCGGCAAGUUUUGGGCUUCUGGAUUGACAGGUUGGGAGCGCAACUUAUUGCGCAAGUUCUGUGAGGAUAUAUGCCUAGAGGUGGCAAUCGGGUCGGGGUCGGGGUCGGGGUCGGGUUGAGGUUUAAGUAUAACAAAGAACCUGCUGACCCGAACCCGACCCGUCAACUCGAAACAGGUCAGGGUACCUGACACGAACUCGAAAAUUUCGGAUUGGCGGGUCGACCCGAAAUGAUCCGAAACUUAAUUUUAAUUUAUUAAUUUAUCACUGUAAUUUCUAAUAAAAUCAAUUUUUCACAAAAUUAAUUACAUCAUCAAGUAAUAAAAAUUUAAAUAAAUAAUUUCAAAUCAAAUCUAAAAUAAAUUAAACACCAUAAAAGUGUUUUAUCCCAAACCAAAUAUAAAAUAAAUUAAAACAGCAUAAAAGUAAAAAAUAACAUAAUAUAUUAUUUGUCCAAAUAUAAUAAUUUUAACUUCACACAAGUUAAAAAAAUUCAUUUAGGAUUAAGUAAUUAAUGCCUUUGGAAAAAAAAUGAUUUAGUUUAGUUAGAUAAAAUAAUUUUUAUGUUUAUUAAAUUAGUUUUAAUUCGUAAACGGGUCACAUCGGGUCAUAUCAGGUCACCACGGGUUGAUCCGAAAUUGACAUGUUUUCUUUUCGGGUUCAUCGGGUUCAACCCGAUUCUGAUCCGAACUCUCGAAACCUCAACCCAGACCCAUUAAUUUCGUGUUAGGUUCGUGUCGUGUUUUCGGGUCUUGUCAGGAAUUGCUACCCCUGUAUAUGCCAAUACAAUGCAUUUAUUAAUUAAUUAUUACCCCAGCACCUUUUUUUCCCUGACGUGAGCCGCGCCUUCUAUUUAAUAGUUAAAACAUUUUACGAGACUCGAGGGGGUUUCUUUUAUUAGUACCUUUUUUUUAAUUCUUUCUGUCUCAGUGACAUUUUUUUCAUCUCCAACUGUUAGGUAUAGAAUUUGAACAUUUUCCCAUCUCGAACUAUUUGAUAUAGAAUUUGAGCUCUUAUCCGCAGACCCAUUCAAUCAUAGGUUUGGUUAAAUUAUUCAUUCAAUAAUUUGAUCUCUUAUAAAUUCUGUUAAUGAUAUUGACUGAUCCAAUAUGCACCAAAUAUAUAAUCAUAUCAUUUUAUUUCUACACAUUAACAAAAGUGAAUGCAAGAUACAUGUGUUAAAUCUGAAGUUCAACUUCAAAUUGGAAGUAAUUAUAUCAUAUACUUACGCCCACUAAUAUAUACAUAUAUAUAUAUAUAUAUAUAAUAUAAAUGAAUGACUAAAUUGUAAAUGCCCAACCCCUUGGUCUUCUCUAACAUUUGAAGUGAGGAGGUGGCAUGAUUUGAUUUUUCUUUUUCCUAAAAUGUACAUUUUGGCCAAUCCAACAUGUGGUGUUCUCUCUCCUAAUAAAAUCUAAUCAGAAAAAAAAGAAAAAAAAACUUGUGGUGUUUGGACCUGCAACUUGUGCAAACUCAUGCAGCUCCAAAUGGAAGGAUUCUUAAUAGGGCUUUGAUUGGGUCGGUUUGUCUCCCGGAGUUUGACAUGAAGAAGGUUGAUGGAGACAUGGAUUUGCAUUUCUAUUCUAUUCCUUUUCCUUCUCCACUUUUAUGAUGACUAUUGAGGGUUGUUUCCCCUUUUUGCCAUUCUAUCAGAAUAACUUUUGCAUCAUCAUCAUUUCCUGUUGGUUAAAAGGUUUCAAGUUGUUGUAUUACUUGCUUUUGCCACCCACCCAAUAGUGUAUCAGCAAAGAUUUCAGCAAUCCACAAAGCAAAAUCAGAGUAGUUUAUUGAUACGCCACUAGUCAAUAUUUGUGUUCUAGCCUUCAAGGGACCACCCAUAAUAUAGGAUGGAUAAAUGUAACUUUCCUUCACGUACCUAGAUUUGUCUAGCAAGCGUUCGUGGACACUCGAUAAGGUGUAAUUCAAGUAUAUAUAUUUUGAAAAUGUAUAUGCAUUCAAAUGAUAUGUUAAAUUUACGUAUUCACAUGUUAUGUUGAAUAUAAUUUAAACGCUUUAAUGACUGUUCAAUAAACAUUCGUUACAAAAUCAUAUAUCUAUGUCAUUAUCUCAUUGAAUUGUUUCUUAGCAUAAAGAGGUAUCCAUCUUGGCGUCACUCAUUUUUUUGUGAUACUAAAAGAUGGCAUUGAUUAUCUAACAUUUCAAUUGUAGUAGUUUUUGGGUCAAACUUGAAUGAUUUCUUAAGAUGUAUGAUUAAAAUUGAAGAAAUUUUACACAAAUCAAGCAUGCAAUAGUAUGCAAAGAUAUGACUGUUAAUUAUUUCUAUAUGCCUCAUUUCCUAUAUUCUUGAUGAAAGAUAUAACAUGAAACCCCUAAACUACCAACAUAUAACGCCUAUGUUAGAUAGAUGAUGCUGGAUAUAUAUAUAUAUAUAUAUAUAUAUAUAUAUAUAUAUAUGUUUAUAUAUAUAAGCAAUAUCAGCCCACAACAUUUUUUGGUUUUAGUACAUAACUACAAUAUUAUAAAAUGGAAAAUGAUAAUUUGUGGCUUGUGACAAAAUUUACUCUCACAUAUUAACUCUGUACUUGUCACACUAAGCUGGUGAUCGUUAAAAAAAAAGUUACAAAACUAUUUUGCACUUUCAUCAUAUGUCAAAACAGUUUGAGAAUCAAAAUGACUUCUCCUUCAUAGAUAGUUUCUGUUUUUCUGAAAACAAUUCCAAGAAAAAGUAAAAAUGAUCACUUGAGAUUGUACCAUCUGCAGGGAUUGGAAAAGCAAAAAACAAAUAUAUUGCUGUAGAUUUCACCCAUCCAUAAAAAGGUUGGUCAAAUUCCUAUGUUUGUUACUGCAUCAGUGAGGUUGCCUGCAGAGGUUACGAGGUUAAAGAACAUGUUUCUGGUAAAAUCUAGUACAAGAAGAAUUCAGAAGAACCUUUUCACAAAUUGCUCCGAAUAUAUAUAUAUAUAUAUAUAUAUAUAUAUAUAUAUAUAUCAGUACUGACCAAGGGGUCCUUUAGCCAUUGAAAGUCCAUGAAUUCUAAGCCUGCAAAAAGUGCUUGAAAUGAAGACAGUCGUAUCAAACCAAAGCAAAGAAAACAACACCAGACAUAAGAUGAAGGGCCCGAGUGACAGACAGCCUUUGCUUCAUUAUUGUGGCAAUGGCAUCAUUUGCCAGACUAUGUAUGUAUGCAUCAAUGAGCAGCAGCAGCAGCAGCUUAUGAUUGUCAUGAUUCAUGGCUUUUGAGUUUGAGCAAAAGAACCCAUAUUUUGGGAGUUCUAUGAGGAAUGUACUCUUUUCUUGGCUAGGACGCAGAGCUGAGCCAGCUUGCUAGGCUCAAUGUCCACCAAACCAAGCUAAGCAAAGGAAAGGAAAGCAAAUUGGAGACAGUUUUUCACAUUUCUUCUCUAGUUCUUUCCUUGAGGUAAAAGGGGGACCAAAAAAAAAAAAAAAAAAAAAAAAAAAAGAAACAACUGUAAUUAAAUAUUUGUGUGGUUACGAAGUUAUAGAAGUGGGAUUUUGUUAAUCAGUCCAUCAUCCAAUGACCAUCUCCUCUUCAUUGUAGGUUUUUUAUCAUUUCAUCUUAUCCAACUCUACUGCGUAUUUUAGUGCAGGGUCCUUUGACAUUGUAGUUUCUUGUAUACAACAGUCACAUACCAACCUUUUGUGAUUAGGGUUGCGGAAGGAAUGAAGAUAGUAAUUUUGGGAGAGGGAAGGGAGAAUGAAGACGUAAAAAAAACAGAGUCGUAAUGCAAAGUAGUAGUAGUAUUUUCUUGCAAUCGAAAAUGGAAGGUGAUCUGAAGAUGCAUGUGACGCUGAAUUCAUGUAUUGCUCCUGAGUUGUGUAUGGUCACACACAACCUAGAAACUAAUAGUAGAGAGUUGCAGGAUUUCGACAAAGUCACCGCCGUUCAGCUUCCCUAAUGUACUAGUGUGUGUGUGGCAAGGUCACGCAUGGCCCGACUACAAGUGGAGUGGAAAAUUGUGUGGUUGGCACCUUAGAACUGCUUCCAACGUUGUUCGUUCGGAGGCACCUAAAAGAUGUUGGCUAAUUAUUCAUUCAUACUGCAGACUCUGGUUUCUGGGGCUUUAGCAGACAAAGCUGAUACCCUGAUGCAGCUCUUAAAAUAUAGGUUAAUAUCCGUUCAACUGAUAUCUUAUUCACCACAUUAUCUGCAAAAUUUCGUUCUGAUUUCUAUGAUAAUAUCGAAAUAAAUAUCUGUACUACCUACCUUAACCAAUGCAGUUGUUUCUUAAAAAACUCCCCAAGUUGAUUCACCAAGGCAUCCUCAUCAGAUUGGAUACAUCCAUUGAAAACGAGAAUAAAGAGCAAGACUGCUACAGGCGGGAGUAGGAAAUGUCUUGCGGGAGCAGGAUGCUGUCUCAUUCAAAAGUCAAAGUCAUAAUAAGCAUUUCCUACUAUUAAAUAUUCGUGUUAUUCCUGCUCGUAAAACUGCAAAAUGUUCCACUUUUUCCCAAAUCUACCUUCUAAACAUACUUCAGGCGCGGAAAUGCGAAAAAAGAAAAAAGAAGCAAAUUAAGAGUAACAAGAUGAUACAAUUCCCAAGUGUUGGGAAAGCCUGGAUGGCAGACGACUG